rnacentral:lncRNA from 1 species
UUUUUUUGUUGUUUUUGUUUUGAAAGGGGAAAUAAAUAUGCAUGAAACAAAUUCAAGAUCAUAGAAAAAAGAACAUGCGAGAACUUCAUCUAGAAAUGGUCGGCGACAAAGUCACCUAUGUUAGAGUAUGUUGACUUAGGAGUCAAGUGAGAUCACUUGAUCAUAGGUCAUACUCAUUGUUUAAGCUCAAAAUGGGGUUACCAUUUUUCGUUUAAGCAUCUUGAUGUAUUCACAUCUUGUCGAGUUGCUUUGACUCAUGACUUGGAGUAAAGCUUCUCUAAGACAGAAUAAUAUACCUUGGGCGGUGGUGUUGAUCUUGAUCAUGUAGUUGAACUUGUGUGGGUUGCUCAAGGUUGAUGUAGCUCAUCAAGAGUUGGGAGCACCAGUUGGAAUUUGAGUUCAUCUUCCUACAUGGGUUAGUCUUUGCAAGGAAGAGCACUUGUGUGUCCAAAAUGACAAUCAUGAAGCUUAACAUAGAAUUUGUCAAGGAUAUGUUUGAAUGGUUUCGUGCUUCCUUGUCUUCAACCACCGUUGUGUAGAGACUUGGUGAUGUAGAGAUUGCACAAGAUGGGAAUGAGUUGCAAUCUCAUAGAUUUAGAUUCAUCCAAGUACCUACAAGGGUUAGAUAAUAUGCAAGGUGCAAAUAUAUCCAAGACAUAAGAUAGUCAUCAUAAGAGAAAUGUCAACGAUUAGUCAUAAGCUCAUGUCUUGCAUGUAUCCAAUGGAGUUCCUACUCCAAGUUUGAAGCAUCAAUGAUGUUCAAUUCACCUCUUAACCUGCAAAACACUCUCUCAUCAAGUGGUUUAGUGAAUAUAUCCGCUAAUUGCUUUUCGGUGCGAACAUGCUUAAGAUUAAUGUCACCCUUAGCAACAUGAUCGUGAAUGAAAUGAUGACGAACUUCAAUAUGCUUAGUUCGAGAGUGUUGCAUGGGAUUGUGAGCAAUCUUGAUAGCUCUCUCAUUGUCACAAAGUAAUGGAACAUGUUUCACAUAUAUCCCAUAAUCCUUAAGAGUUUGGGUCAUCCAAAGUAAUUGAGCACAACAUGAACCAGCGGCAAUGUGUUCCGCUUCGGCGAUGGAUAAGGAUACUGAGUUGUGUUUCUUGGAGGACCAAGACACAAGAGAUCUACCAAGAAAUUGACAAGUACCCGAAGUGGACUUUCUAUCAACCUUGUCACCGGCAUAGUCCGAGUCGGAGUAGCCAAUAAGAUCGAAAGAGGCCCUCUUAGGAUACCAAAUGCCAAAAUUUGGUGUAUGGAUUAAGUAUCUCACUAUCCCUUUCACGGCCUUAAGAUGACAUUCUUUAGGAGCAGCUUGAUACCGUGCACACAUGCACACACUUAGCAUGAUAUCGGGACGUGAAGCGCAUAGAAUAUAACAAUGAACCAAUCAUAGAGCGAUAAACUUUUUGAUCGACCAGUUCACCAUCUUUGGUCAAGUCAAGAUGUCCACUAGUAGGCAUGGGUGAGGUCAUACCUUUGCAUUCUUGCAUAUUGAACCUCUUGAAUAAGUACUUGGUGUACUUCGUUUGAUAGACGAAGGUACCUUCCUUAGUUUUCUUGAUUUGCAAACCAAGAAAGAAUUUGAGUUCACUCAUCAUAGACAUCUCAAACUUCUCCGACAUUAGCUUCCCAAAUUUUUCAGUAAAAUGAGGGUUAGUAGAACCAAAUAUAAUAUCAUCAACAUAGAUUUGGCACACAAAUAGUUCUCCAUUGACCCUUUUAGUAAAAAGAGUAGAAUCUAUUUUUCCAAUUUCAAAGCCUUUUUCAAUAAGGAUCUUGGUCAAGCAUUUAUACCACGCUCUAGGAGCUUGUUUAAGACCAUAAAGAGCUUUGUGAAGUUUGUAAACAUGAUAAGGUUUCUUAGGAUUAACAAAGCCGGGAGGUUGUUUAACAUAAACUUCCUCCUCUAUUUCACCAUUUAGAAAAGCACUUUUAAUGUCCAUUUGGUACAAGGUGAUAUCAUGGUGAUUAGCAUAGGCAAGUAAGAUGUGAAUGGACUCAAGUCUAGCAACGGGAGCAUAAGUCUCACCAUAGUCCAUACCUUCGACAUGUGUGCAGCCUUGGGCGACGAGACGUGCUUUGUUGCGAACUACUUGUUCAUCUUCAUCUUGCUUGUUGCGAAACACCCAUUUGGUACCGAUGAUGUUGUGCUUGUUGUCGGGCUUCUCAACCAAUGUCCAAACUUGAUUUCUCUCAAAGUUGUGUAGCUCUUCAUGCAUGGAGUUUAUCCAAUCCAGAUCUUCCAAUGAUUCCAACCUUCAUAGGUUCAAUGCUAGAGAUGAAUGAAUAGUGUUCACAAAAGUUAGCUAAACAAGUUUAGAGCGAGUGAUUCUCCCGGCUUGGAUAUCAUUGUAGAUUUGCUCGACGGGAUGGUCUUUAGCAAUUCUUGCUCGAACUCGUGAGAGCUUUUGCUUGGGUCUUGGUUGAAUAUCUUCUUCAUCUUGUUCUUCUUCUUGGCCUUCUUCAUUGUUGGCGUUGUCGUUCUCUUGUCGUGGUGGAGAAGGAGGUUGUUGACGUUCAUCUUGGUGCGCUUCCUCGUUUCCUUCAUCUUGGUGUGUCCCACUUGUUGAUGCUUCCGUAUCAAUUCUUGGUUCACCUUGUCGUGAGGUAGAAGCUUCCACUUGGACAGACGAGGUACUCUCCUUCACCUCCGUUGGACGAAUCUUCCAAUAGACAAAUCUUGGAUUGCUUCCGAAGGAUCUUUGUCUCCUACAUCAAUUGGCAGUUUCUCUACUUGCGAGCCGUUAGAUUCAUCAAACUUCACAUCUACCGUUUCUUCAACCUUUCGGGUGAAAUUGUUGUAGACACGGUAUGUGUGAGAGUUUGAGCCAUAACCAAGUAGGAAACCCUCAUGAGACUUAGGAGCAAAUUUAGAACAACGAUGCUUAUCAAGAAUGUAGCACUUUGAGCCGAAUACUCGAAAGUAUCCAACUUGGGGUUUGUUACCGGUGAGAAGCUCGUAUGCCGUCUUGCCGAGUAGCUUGUGAAGAUACAAGCGGUUUGUUGCAUGACAAGCUGUCUCAACCGCUUUCGUCCAAAAGUGCUUCGGCGUCUUGUACUCAUCAAGCAUCGUUCUCGCCAUUUCGAUGAGCGUCCGGUUCUUCCUCUCAACAACUCCAUUUUGUUGAGGUGUGUACGUAGCCGAGAACUCAUGUGAAAUUCAUUCUUCAUCAAGAAAGGUGUCCACAUUUGCGUUCUUGAACUCCGUUCUGUUGUCUCUGCGAACCUUCUUGGUCUUCACUUCAAAUUGAUUUUGGGCCUUCCUAGAGAAGUUUUUGAAGAUCUUUUGGACCUGCGAUUUAUCAUCGAGAAAGAACACCCACGUAAAUCUUGAAAAAUCAUCAACUAUAACUAGACCAAAAGAAUUUCCACCGAGACUUUUGUAGGCGUUGGGACCAAAGAGAUCCAUGUGAAGUAGCUCGAGUGGCCUCCUUGUGGUCAUGAUGUUCUUCACGGGAUGCCUUCCUCUAACCUGUUUACCUGGCUGACAAGCACUGCAAAGUCUAUCCUUAUCAAAUAUGACAUCGUUAACACCAAGGAUAUGAUUUCCUUUAAUAAGCUUGUCAAGGUUUCGCAUACCAACAUGACCUAAUCGUCUAUGCCAUAACCAACCUUUAGAGGAUUUAGCAAUAAAGCAAGUUCUAGGUUGAUCCUUUUUAGUGGAAUCAACAAUGUAUAGAUCACCUCUACGUACACCGGUAAAGACCAUUUUAUGAUUAUCUCUACAAAACACUUGGCAGUCUACUUCAGUAAGUAGGACAUUGAAACCGAAAUCAGCAAGUCUAGAUACUGAAAGUAAGUUGUAGCCAAGAGAUUCAACGAGCAUGACAUUUUGUAUGGAGCUAUCAUGUGAUAUGGCCACCUUAUCGAGGCCAACCACCUUACCCUUUGAGUUGUCACCGAAAGUGACAUACUUUCGAGGACCAUCGUUUUCAGCAAGCUCACGAAACAUGUCUUUAUCUCCGAUCAUGUGAUCGGUACAUCCACUAUCAAGAACCCAUUCCUUUCCUCCUGCCAUAUAUCCCCGAAGAUUUGCCAUAAGCCCAAAGUGUCUCAUUGCAUCAUCAAGAUCGAAGUCACUAUCAUCAUCCUCAUCAUAGUAUCCAUGUUCAACAUCGUCAUGUGGUGGAUCAUAUCCUAGAGAGGGUAAUUCGUCAGAGUGAUUUUGAUAAUGAUCUUGCUUAUGAAUUUUUAUAGCUUCGGAAAUAAUAUCACUAAUAAUUCCAACAUCUCCUUUGGCACGCAUAACGUUUGUAAGCUCAAACAAACAAUCACCAAACAUAGGAUCACUAGAAUUCAUCUUACUCAAGGCAAUAGACUUAUGAAGAAUUUCAUCAAGAUUUUUCAGGGAAUAAUUUGGAAAGCGUUCCACAAGAAAUUCCCAUAUGGUGUAGGCACACUUAAGAGUAGGCAAACAUCCAAUCAAGUUUCUAGGCAAGCCUCUAAUGAUAAGUUUGGCAGUUCUAAGAUUGUGAAUCAUGUCAAUUGACUCAUCAAGGGUAGGAUGCAUAGGAUCAACAUGAGGUGCACAAGGGCUAGCAAUGUACUUGUUCAAAUGAUAUUGAUUGAAAAUCAUAAGCAUCUCAUUUUUCCACUCAUGAAAGUACUCUCCAUCAAGAAUAGACACUCUAUGUCUAAGACUCCCAAUAGUAGACUCAUCCAUCUUCCUCCAAUGGUGUUUAAACCAAAGCAAUGGACACCAAAGCUCUGAUACCAAUUGAAAGGGAUCGAGAAGAGGUGUCUAGAGGGGGGUGAUUAGACACUAAGUACCAAAAGUUGCAGUUUUUAACUUCUUUAAGUUGGAGUGGAGUUUAGGCACAAGUUUAACAAUCACAACACAUAUCAAGGAAGCAUGCAAAGAGUAUAUGAGCAGCGGAAAGUAAAGCAUGCAACUUGCAAGAAUGCAAAGGGAAGGGAUUGGAGGAUUCAAACGCAAUUUGGAGACAUGGUGAUUUUUGAGCCGUGGUUCCGAUAGGUGGUGCUAUCGUACAUCCAUGUUGAUGGAGACUUCAACCCACGAAGGGUAACGGUUGCGUGAGUCCACGGAGGGCUUCACCCACGAAGGGUCCACGAAGAAGCAACCUUGUCUAUCCCACCAUGGCCGUCGCCCACGAAGGACUUGCCUCACUAGCGGUAGAUCUUCACGAAGUAGGCGAUCUCCUUGCCCUUACAAACUCCUUGGUUCAACUCCACAAUCUUGUCGGAGGCUCCCAAGUGACACCUAGCCAAUCUAGGAGACACCACUCUCCAAGAAGUAACAAAUGGUGUGUUGAUGAUGAACUCCUUGCUCUUGUGCUUCAAAUGAUAGUCUCCCCAACACUCAACUCUCUAUCAUAGGAUUUGGAUUUGGUGGAAAGAAGGUUUGAGUGGAGAGCAACUUGGGGAAGGCUAGAGAUCAAGAUUCAUAUGGUAGGAAUGGAAUAUCUUGGCCUCAACACAUGAGUAGGUAGUUCUCUCUCAGAAAAUGUAUGCUGGAAGUGUAGGUUCGUUCUAAUGGCUUUCUCCAUGAAUGAAGAGGAGGUGGAGGGGUAUAUAUAGCCUCCACACAAAAUCUAACCGUUACACACAACUUGCCAAACUCGGUGGGACCGAAUUGAUAAACUCGGUCGGACCGAUUCAGCAAAUCUAGUGACCGUUAGGAUUUUCGGUGGGACCGACAUGCAACUCGGUAGGACCGAUAUGGUUAGGGUUAGGGCAUAACGUAAUCUCGGUGAGACCGAUUACACAAACUCGGUGGGAAUGAUUUUGGUAAUAAGCUAACUAGAGAGUUGGUCAGGCAAACUCGGUUUGACCGAUUACACAAACUCGGUUGGACCGAUUUUGGUAAUAAGCUAACCAGAGAGUUUGCAUUGUAAUCUCGGUAGUACCGAUUGCUCAAACUCGGUGAGACCGUUUUUGGUAAUGGACAUACACAGAGAGAUUACAAUCCCAUCUCGGUGAGGCCGAGAUCCCUAUCGGUAGCACUCUUUUGUUUCUGCUUAUGUUAUGCAUUGCUUAAACUUACUUGCUUCUUUAUCGUCCUGUUCAGCUCUUGGACUCCCAAGUCAGGUCCAAAUUAAUGUUCAAACUUGAGUUCUAAAUUAGUUGUGGGGCACAUAUCGAGGCAGCAAUGAAUAUGUCUGUCUAAUAUCUGGUUCGCCUAGGGUAUGCCUAUGUUGUUCAUCUUGGGUGGGAAACAAAUAGUAAAGCAAUCAUCAUUUGUCUUUAUUAAUUUAAAGCAAUCAUCAGCCUGCUAUUAUUAUUUUUGGAUCCAUCCACUGGUUGUUACCAUCACUCUAAAUUUCAGCAUGCUCUCCUUACAUAAUCUCACCAUAUUUUUUCGUAUGCAUGUCAGAUAUUGUACACAGUCAUGCUGAACAUGUAGAGAAUAGGAGAAGAGUUUUGCACGGCAAUAGAAUGUCAUGCAGACAUCGCUCCAUGGUGGGUUCAAUGGCAAACCCUCCCCACCCCUCUCCAGAUUGUAAUUCAUAGGAAGAUAUCUGUUCUGAGGCGGAUUCAGACGCCGCUGACCACUCCUAUUUACCCCCCGAGGUGUUUGAUCUACCUUGGCAUGAUGAUGUUAGUCAUAUCAUGCAUAUGUUGCCUUGCAGUGCCUACUUUUGACAUCAUAUAUGUUAUCUGCUUAGUUUAGACAUGUUUUUAAUGCCACCUGUUUAGUUUCUAUAUCAUAUAUGGGAAUUAUGCAGUCUCAUGUCUUUUAGCCAGCCAUAAUAUAUGUGAAAUGUGCAAUGCCAUCCUGUUUAACCAGGCAUCAUAUAUUUGAAUGAUAUCUUGCCCAUCCUUUUCUUCAUUACAUUUCCAUUUGUCGACAAUGUUUGUACAUUAAACUACUCUUCCUGUGAAUCAGCCAUUUGGGUGGGAGAUGGAAAAAUCUAGAGUGAAAACAAGGCCUUCAGAGCAAACAGUGCUACCUAUCGAAGCAGAUCUCUUGUUGGGUCCCGAUAGCUCCUCAGAGAUGGAUUCAGAGAUAGAUGACCAGUCCUAUUCCCCCACUGAGGUGUAUGCUCUAACUUGGCACGGUUAUACUGCUCAUAUCAUGCAUACGGUGUCUUGCAUUGCAUAGUUUAGACAUCAUAUACACAAUAUUCAACACCAUGUUCUUAGUUCAAACAUCAUAUCGAAUGCCCUCUGUUUAGCAUAUAAAUCACAUAUGUGAAUUAAAUGAUGCGAUCCUGAUUACUUAGAUAACAUGUAGGUGAAUUAUGUCAUGCGAGCAUGUUUAGUUAUUCCUCAUAUCUUUGAAUUUUUUAUGCUAUGCUAUCCAGUUUAGAUAGACAUUAUAUAUGUGAAAUUAUGUCAUGCUAUCCGUUUUAGUUAAACAAUAUACAUGUCAACAUUUCAUGCCCUCUUUUUUCCACACUAUCUAUUGCAUCUAUCUCUCAUACAAUGUCUAUACAUUCAACUAUGUUUCCUAUUUAUCAGCCAUUUGAAUUGGAGCGGGUGGUGCCAGUAUCUAGCAGAGUAAAAACACGGUCUUCGAAUAAAACAGUGCUACCUCUUGGUGGAGAUAGCACCCAGUUGUACAUGCAUAAGAACCAGCCCUACCACACAUAACCCAAACUCUCGCAGAUUGUACCCCUACUGCGAUGGACAGAGAACCAUCUUCACCCAAUCUAAUCCCAACCCCAGCCGAUAGUAACCCAGUUCCUAUUGACACAGCUUCAUCUCCACCAUAGAGCUCCCAAACAAGAGCAGUUAGUAAGGCAGCACUAGUGCCCAAAGGGCCAGUACUAUCACGCAAACCCCAACUCCACCAGUUAGUACGCCUAUUCCUGUGGAGGAAGCACAACUAGCUAGUCGUACUUUAGCAUCUAUCGCAUUUGAUGUUGUUAAAUCGUAUGUGCCUAUCUUCCCAUCUUGGAAAUAUUAUACUGAAGAUGAAGGAAAAUGCCAGUUGCAGGUGUUUUUCCAGGAGUUAUGUGUAAGUAAUGUUAUUCAUGGCAAUUACUUUGCUUCGUCCCAUAAUCCUACCUCCAUGAUGGUUAUAAUGCAACAAAUUUUCCCAUUUUUCUCUAUAGAGAAGAACCGAUUUGGAAACUCAAGAUGAGGUAACCUGUGCUAAUACCUCUGCUAUCUUCAAGAAUGCUUGUUGGCAGUAUCAGAAUUACCUGAAGAAAACAUACUUCACCGGCAAAGAAACUCAUCAAAAUCCCUAACGUUCUCCUGAGACACAUUUACUGGACGAUGACUGGGAACGCCUUGUUCUAUACUGGUCCCAAACCAAGAAUGUGGUAAGGUCUAUCAGCUCAUUUUCUAUUUUUAAGUAUUAUAUUCUUGCGUCUUACUGUACUCUGUUCAUGUAGAACAAGUGCCUAAACCUGAAGAACAACUGUUCUAAUUUAAGAUUCCAUUGCUAUCAUAGUUCAAAAAACCGCUAGGCGUUAAUUGUGCAUUUUGCCACCGCCUUGCGCUUUACUGACCAAAGCGCAUGCUUAUGCGCAGUUAUGCACAGAUUAAGCAUAGUUAUGCGCAAUGCAUUUUGCCAAUGCCUAGAGCCUAGGCGCGCUUAAGCGCUCGCUUAGGCGCGCCUUUUUUAACUAUGAUUACUUUGCUCUUGUAUCACUAUAUUUACUGAUACAAACUUAUUUUUAAAUUGAAGGAUCCAAUCGAAACUCCAAUGGCACAAUAGGUAUGUUCACGCAUGUUUGUUUAACAGGUUUGCUCUUAUCAAUAGCUCUUUUGAUUUCAAUUUCAAUUGUGUAUACAGUUGACUUUCAUAUCAUGCACAUUACUAGCAUCACAACAGAGCCAAUAGUGUUGUUGUACAUGUAGACCUGUGGUACCCAUCUGAAAUCUUGUUGUGCCGUGUAGUUUCCCACGCUUUGUAUUCUUUCACCGGUGCUUUGUCUUGAACUGAUAUGAUUUGAACCGUGUCUCUAUUUUGAUUUGGCAAGACAAUGCAGUGACCAUAGGACAUAGAUAUAUGUUUGUUUGAUGCUUUUAUUAUGUACUAGUACUUGGCAAUAGAAGACUUGGUAGUUUAAUCCUGUCCACCUUACUAAUGAACUGGUUCGCCGAAAUGAGUUUCAUAUACUAGCACAUGCUAAACUUGUUAUGUGUCUGCUUGUUUCUUCUUUUAGAAUGCUGAUAGAAUAUUGGGGAAGAGUGCCUUAUUAAGCAAUGGUAAAGGAAGUAAUGCAGAUAAGGUUCAGGAUAGUGACACAUCCUUGUUGGUCUCCAACAAAGCUGAUAAAACAGCUAAGGAAGACUAUCUUGAAGACAGCGAGACAACCCCAAAGUCCUGUCUUGGUUUAGUGUUCGAGUUACUGGCCACUACCGCUUGCACAAGCUAUUCAAACUGACUGUCUGAAUCAGUUCGGUUUCUCGAGUCUCAACUAAAAGCUGAAAGACAUCGAUCAGUUGUGCUGCGACAAGAAGCGGAAGGACUGUGGAAGCCCCUGGAGCAUCAGAUGCAUACUUUCUGGUGCAACAGCAAGCGUUGCAGGAUUUUAGCACCAAACAGGACAAAGCUAAUCAGCUUGCUAAGCUUAUUGCCAGCAUGGUGGAUACCCAGGAUAACGUUUCUUGAGCUCUUCUGAAGUUGUUUCAGUUAUGCUCUUGUUUUGCUGCUGCGUUUAUUUGCACUGGUGGCCAAUUUUGAUGGCCAGUGUAUGUAAUAUGCUGCUUUGUUCCCUAUAUUUGCACUGGUGGCGAACUUUGAUGCCCAGUGGAUGUAAUAUGUGUAAUAGCGGUAAUAGGCUAGCGUUGAUUGCUUGCUUAUUUAUUUCCUUAUUGUCUUGUUUAGUUGUUUGCUUGUAGUCAUUGUAGUUCUUUUUCUGUGUUUUUCUAGUGGCCACAAUAGCCUAUUUUUGGUAACUAGGCCAAAAUAAUCAUGGCAACACACGGACUGUUGUAACCAUGGGCCUCCUGCAGGCCGUAUGAUCCAUGGGCCUUCUUCCGGCCGUAGGAUCCAUUGGCCUUCUAUACGGGCCGUAGGAUCCAUUGGCCUUCUAUACGGGCCUUAGGGUCCAUGGGCCUUCUACGGGCCGUAGGGUCCACGGGCCUUCUACGGGCCAUACGACCCAUGGGCCUUCUACGGGCCGUAGAUCCAUGGGCCUCAUACGGGCCGUAGAUCCAUGGGCAUUCUACGGGGCGUAUCAUCAUUUCGCCAAUCAUGGGCUAUACAAUUCGUGGACCAUAAUGGGCCGUUAAUAGACCGUAUUUGAUAACUCUAUGAAAACAGCCCAACAUUUUUUACAUGAAAACGGUCCAACGUAUUAACGGUCCGAAAACGGGCCGACUGUAACGACAGGCUGAAUUUGGCCCACAAGCAGAAAAUGACAGUAACGGGUCGUAUGUAACCAAAUGCUACAAAUAAGCCCAAGAAUCAAUGGGCCCUGAGAAGGCCAAAAGAUAACUUGGGCUGGAAAUAGCCCAAUAGAAUAACGGGCCGUUAAUGGGUAUAAAGUGAUACAUUGUUCAUUACGGGCCAGUUUCACCACGGGCCGUUCAUGGGCCAAGAGUUACAAAGGGCCUCAUAUGGGCCGAAAGAAGUCAUGGGCCACACAUGGGCCGAAAGUUAAAACGGGCUGGAAUCAUAUUGGACGGCCCAGAUGACGCUACUGGGCCUAAUUCGGAUAAGGCGUAACGGGCCCUGGGUUAGCGGGCUGUAAAUGGGCUUGAUGACCCACAAGCAUAGGGGAUCUAUCGUAGUCCUUUCGAUAAGUAAGAGUGUCGAACCAAACGAGGAGCAAAAGGAAAUGAUAAGCGGUUUUCAGCAAGGUAUUCUCUGCAAGUACUGAAAUAAGUGGUAACAGAUAGUUUUGUGAUAAGGUAAAUUGUAACGAGCAACAAGUAACAAAAGUAAAUAAGGUGCAGCAAGGUGGCCCAAUCCUUUUUGUAGCAAAGGACAAGCCGGAACAAACUCUUAUAAUAGGAAAAGCGCUCCCGAGGACACAUGGGAAUAUCGUCAAGCUAGUUUUCAUCACGCUCAUAUGAUUCGCGUUCAGUACUUUGAUAAUUUGAUAUGUGGGUGGACCGGUGCUUGGGUGCUGUUCUUACUUGAACAAACAUCCCGCUUAUGAUUAACCUCUAUUGCAAGCAUCCGCAACUACAACAAAAGUAUUAAGGUAAACCUAACCAUAGCAUGAAACAUAUGGAUCCAAAUCAGCCCCUUACGAAGCAACGCAUAAACUAGGGUUUAAGCUUCUGCCACUCUAGCAACCCAUCAUCUACUUAUUACUUCCCAAUGUCUUCCUCUAGGCCCAAAUAAUGGUGAAGUGUUAUGUAGUCGACGUUCACAUAACACCACUAGAGGUUAGACAACAUACAUCUUAUCAAAAUAUCGUACGAAUACCAAAUUCACAUGACUACUAAUAGCAAGACUUCUCCCUUGUCCCUAGGAACAAACGUAACUACUCACAAAGCAUAUUCAUAUUCAUAAUCAGAGGGGUAAUAAUAUGCAUAAAGGAUCUGAACAUAUGAUCUUCCACCAAAUAAACCAACUAGCAUCAACUACAAAGAGUAAUCAACACUACUAGCAACCUACAAGCACCAAUCCCGGACUUGGAGACAAGAAUUGGAUACAAGAGAUGAACUAGGGUUUGGAGAUGAGAUGGUGCUGGUGAAGAUGUUGAUGGAGAUUUCCCUCUCCUGAUGAGAGGAGUGUUGGUGAUGAUGAUGGAGAUGAUUUCCCCCUCCCGGAGGGAAGUGUCCCCGGCAGAACAGCCCGAAGGUUCCGCCAAGGUUCCGCCUCGUGGCGGCGGAGUCUCAUCCCGAAAGGUUGCUUCUGAUUUUUUUCUCAUCGAAAGACUUCAUAUAGGAGAAGAUGGGCGUCGCAGAGCCACCAUGGGGCCCAUGAGGUAGGGGGGUGCGCCCAGGGGGGAGGGGCGCGCCCCCCACCCUCGUGAGCAGGGUGUGGCCCCCCUGGCCUUCAUCUUUGGCGACGAUUUUUCUUUAUUUAUUUUAAGAUAUUCCGUGGAGUUUCAGGACUUUUUGAGUUGCGCAGAAUAGGUCUCCAAUAUUUGCUCCUUUUCCAGCCAGAGUUCCAGCUGCCGGCAUUCCCCCUCUUCAUGGUAAACCUUGUAAAAUAAGAGAGAAUAGCCAUAAGUAUUGUGACAUAACGUGAAAUAACAGCCCAUAAUGCGAUAAAUAUCGAUAUAAAAGCAUGAUGCAAAAUGGACGUAUCAACUCCCCCAAGCUUAGACCUCGCUUGUCCUCAAGCGAAAAGCCGAUAACAAUAAAUAUGUCAUCGUGUUUAGAGGUAGAGGCGUCGAUAAAAAUAAAAUACGGACAUGAAGGCAUCAUGAUUAUUUCAUAACAGCAACAUAUAUAGAUUUUUCAUAUGAUUACUUAUAUUCAAGUGAUGAUCUUUUCACAAAGCCAAAGUAUGAAUAAUAAACCUUAUUGAGCACCAACAAUUAUAAUCUCAGUCAUUGAAGCAAUUGCAAUUUAUCAUAACAUCGGAAAGAGUCUAUGUCAGAGCUCAAAAGCAAGUCCACAUACUCAACUAUCACUUAGUCCUUCAUAAUUUCUAGCACUCACGCGAUACUUGUGGUUACGGAGUUUUAAUCGGACACAGAGAAAGAUAGGGGCUUAUAGUUUUGCCCCACAACUUUUUACCUCAAGGGUAAUGUCAACAAUAAUAAUUCACGCUCCCCCACAUCCAAUUAGACAUAUAUAUCAUGUUCUUUCCAACAUGUUGAGCUUGCCAAAGGAUAAAAUGAAAAAGGAAGGUGAAGAUCACCGUGACUCUUGCAUAAGGUAGAGGAAAAUAAUAAAUGAUAGGCCCCUCGCAGAGGGAAGCAGAGGUUGUCAUGCGCGUUUAGGGUUAAUGCACAAAAUCUUAAUGCAAAAGAACGUCACUUUACAUUGCCCCUUGCAUGUGAACCUUUAUUAUGCAGUCCAUCGCUUUUAUUGUGUCCACAACAAGUUCGUGCAAAGUUUAUUUUCUCCGCGCUAAUAAAUCAUGCAUAUUUAGAGAGCAAAUUUUAUUGCUUGCACCGAUGACAACUUACUUGAAGGAUCUUACUCAAUCCAUAGGUAGAUAUGGUGGACUCUCAUGGCAAAACUGGUUUAAGGGUAUUUGGAAGCACAAGUAGUAUUUCUACUUAGUGCUAAGAAUUUGGCUAGCAUGAGGGGGAAAGGCAAGCUCAGCAUGUUAGGAGAUCCAUGACAAUAUACUUUAUCUCACAUAUAAGAAAACAUAACUCAUUAUGUUGUCUUCCUUGUCCAACAUCAACUCUUUAGCAUGUCAUAUUUUAAUGAGUGCUCCCAAUCAUAAAAGAUGUCAAUGAUACCACAGAUAAGCUCGGGCAUGUUGUUGCACAACAACCUCAUUGGCAUCUGAAGGCAUACUAUUCUCUCUCCACUCAGAGCCAAUGAUGCAACACUUUCUCACUGUCACGCUCGUCUUCUUCAGGAGGCACGGGGAAAACACCUGUCAAUUGGCCAACACGAUCUUGCCAAUUAGCAGUUACGACGGUGCCGGUCAAAGCUUCUCCAUUGAUUGGAAGGCCACUGAUCAUUGCCAUGUCCUCCAAGGUCACGGUCAUCUCUCCACAUGACAAGUGGAACGAAUGUGUCUUUGGCCUCCAACGGUCAAUAAGUGCGGUCAUCGCCCCGUGGUUGAUCGAUGGAGCGUGGCGCAUGAACUGAAGCACAAAUGGGAGAAGGCCCAAUCUCUUGAAGUAUGGCUCAUACCACUCGUCGCACGGCCAGUCGUGGGCACUAUGACCCCUCACGCGCAUAGGUUUUAGUUCCUGCAAAAUAGCAUUGCAUUAUGGUUAGUGACUAGCAAAAAUGAAAAGUAAUAACCAAGAAUUCAAAUAGAUUGAGUCUUACCCGGUGAUUCUCAAUGUCCCGCGCGUGAUGCCCUUUGUCAUACCCUUUAUGUGGACCGUCGUACCAACAUUCACCCACCAUCCUACAUAUCAAGCAUGAACGAAUGAAAUAUACAUAACACUAUAUAACAUCCUACAUAUCAUAUAUUUGGCAAAACAACAUCAACAUAAAUGCAUAUCUCAAUGGCAACAUAACAAAACCAAUUAUCUAUAUAUGAAAAAAUCUCAAUGCCCAGGGCAACAUAUCUCAAUGUCAAGAUAACAAGACCAAUUAUCUAUAUAUGACAAAAUCUCAAUGGCAACAUAUCUCAAUGGCAACACAACAUAACAAAUCUCAAUAUAACAUCCUAAUUGUAUGACCGUAUCUCAAUGAGAAUCAAGCAUACAAAAUACACAAAUUAAUUAGAUUCUCUUUCAAGCUAUCAUCUAUCUAAAUCCAUAUACAUAGCAACAAAAAUUAAAAUGCCCAAUCCUACCACAAAUGCCUUGUCUUCUCAAUCCAGCCAUAUAAACACAUGCCUUCUCUUCUAAAGUAUACAUCAUACCCACAUGACCAAGCCAUGGGCUCCCCUUUCUCAAAAAAUUUUAAACAAAACGAAUCCUAGAGUUCCAACAAGUAUGAAUUAAUGCCGCAAAAAUAAUAGUUUCCAACCAAAAAUAAUUGGAGGAACCGAUGGAGAGUACCUCAACGAAGAUGGGGGACUCGGAUCUGCACUUUUGAUGAAGAAAAUAGCCGAUUUGGGGUGAUUUGGCUGAGGGGAGGAGAGAAGCACAGCUUCUGUAGGGCGCCGCCGCGAGGAGGAACACGCCUCAUGCGUCUUGGGGUGGGUUGGGCUGCACCCGAGCCGGCUCGGGCUGGUUUACUGCUAUUCAGGGAUAAACGCGAGGGGUCAUGGCGUUUACCCCUUUGCCACGUCGAACAGUCAAAGUGGCAGACCAGGGAGGUGGACCAGGCCUAAACGCCGUCGUCCUUGGCGUCUUCAGUGCAAGCAGAACGCCGUGGAUGUUGGCAUCUCAGUUUGGGUUAGAUCCAGAAAAUGUUUCAAACACGGGUCAAAUCGUGCUAAACUUCGAGAGAGGGGUCAGAACAGUGAAAAAGUCCGCCAAGUCAUCGCCCAUCCAUCCAUCCAUCCCGUAACAUACACUCAACCAUCACAAGAUACACACCAUCGGGUAUCACGAGCUCCAUCAAUGCACCACCGCCGUACACCGUGAAACAAGUAUAUUACACUAAAAAAAGUAUAUUAAGAGUAAUACCCACGCCCGUGCGUCGACUGUUCCGUGUUGCGCUGGAUAAACAAAAAAUCUCCACCAGCACAGAGCCGACCAGUGUAUCGGAUCUAGCAACUUUGCGGAUUUACUAACCCCUGCACGAACUGCCCACCGGUGUGCAAAUGUCUGUUUAACACCACGACUAUGCAUUAGUACCUGUCAUCAAACACUAACGGUCAAACUAUAAAAAAAUUAGCCACACUGCAUCAUCAAUCAAUGUUUGUAAGCAAGUAUAAUCUCACAAGUUUCAACAUGGCAAUAGGUACCCGCAAGCCGCGAACCCGACGGGUAAAAACCCUAUUAGGUAAGGGUUUGGAAAAAAUAAAUACACAUGGGUUUAUAAAUGGACAAAAAAUUAUAACCAUCGGGUACGUUGGGUAUGGGUAUGGGAAGGCAAUAACCAUACCACGUACUCGCAUACCCGCGUACGAAAAUACAACCCUAGCCUGGACCAAAAAUCCCCUCCCCUUACCCAUGUGCAUGAUCUUAAUUAAACACAUCGAUCUUAUUUUGUGAACUCACGAUUUUUCUCUGAUUUUGUUAUUUUUAUUAUAGUCUCCUUCAUUUGAUCAUUUUACAGUAGGGGCUGCAGAAGUAACUUCAACAAAAGAAAAUUAUAGGAAAUUGUGUCGCUCUUGUUUGUUUUGUAAUUGGAAAAAAGAAGAAAGAACAUAUGUGAAUGUUUCUCUAAGAAGUUCACUUACAUAUGUGAUUGUUUGGUGCCACAUAGUUCAUACUUAUUGCUAUCCACUUUUUUAAAUUCAUACCAUUUUUUAUUCCAUCGCACAACAAAUCGUGAUAUGCAUGUGCUGAAAUGCUAAAAUGUGGUCUAUAUUUGUUGAAAUUUUGAAGUACACAUGCUGAAAUUUUGUGUAUAUAUGCUAACAUGCUAAAAAACACGAUGAAGUGUGAAUUGGGUAAGGUGGCCGAGAUGGGUAUUUUUACCCAGGGUAUUACUUGCACCCGGACCACCGGACAGGUACGGGUUAUGGAACAAUUUGAAACCCGAGGUGCGGGUACGGGUACGGGUUUGUGAAAAUAUUGAGGCGGGUAGGGGUUUGGGAGACCAUUACCCGCGCCCGAACCCGGCGGGGGUUAUGUUGACACAAGUUGCAAUACAGAACUUAUAUUUAACCAUGGGUGCUAUAAAAAGCAGUUCAGCAUAUCACUGGGGGUACUCACAUGUAAAAUGAGCAUCAACAAUUCCAGAAUUGGAAAACAUUCAUUAGCAGUUCAGGAUAAUGUGCGGGUAAAAAAAUUAGCCCCAUCAACAUCAAUCCAUGUUUAUAAAUUAUAACCAACUAAUCUCACAAGUUAUAUUCCAUCCCAUACUACUUUUUUUUGGCAGGAAUAUUGGCUCAGCAUAGUACCUAGAGUGCAUACAAAAUGAGCUGCACAUCAUCAAUCUUGGAAGGAUACUCACAGAUUGCCUUCCAAAAGUUGAAAACACACAUUGGAAUGCAGGAUGCAUCCAAAUGAGCAGGAAUGAUGCUCUUUCAACAGAAAUUCAAAUGGUUUGAAAUUCCAAUUCAGACUCAUUUGAAGUUUCUUACUCAAAUUAUUUUUCUCCUAAAUAUUGAUAUAUGGAAAUGAGGGUAAAAUGAUUUCCUUCAAUGCAAAAUUAGGAGAAAAUAAAUUUGAAAUCACUUUGAUAUUUAAAAAUUUGUUUUUAUUGGUUUUUAAUGCAACAGUAGCACUAUUUGACUUUUAUGAAUUUUUCUAGAUCUCAUUUGGACUUGGAAAAUAGUUCAUCUUUUUGUCUGUAUUUUUAUGAACAUCUUGAUAUAUUAUAUUGUAAGUGCAUCUAGUGCUCCUUAGUGAUUUUGGUGUAUUGAAGACAUAUAGGUUAAGGGAAUAAUGUGUUUGUGAGUGUACACAUGCUCCAUAAGUCGAUGAGGAGUUUGAUAUUUACGAUGAAAGUCAACCCCUAAAAAUGUAUGUCUUCAGCUGAAGACUUUGGUUCUCCUGAAGAUUUUUGAAAGUGAAGAAAUUGGUGUGACCUUGAAGACUUGGAUAUUCAUGCGAGGAUUAUGAAGCAUGAAGACUUUUGUAUUCGUAGUUUCAUUUUCUCUUUCUUGAGUCAUAGAAAAUACCGUACUAUUAAAGGGGGUCGAGGUAAUACUAAGGAAAGUGAUUUCCAAGUGAUGCUCAUCUCAAAAUCCUACAACUACCCAAUCCUUUCGAGUGAAGCCAUUGGAAAUCUCAUAUCAGUUCAGUAAAUUUCUUCAGUGACAAAGAUGAAGAUCUUCUGGUCUUUGAGGAAUUUGUUCUGACUGAGGAGUUAUGAAUUCACCACUUCGGAUUGCCUACACAGUGAGGAACAUGAUAGCCUCGAGGAAUUUGAACCUCAAAUCCGACCGUUGUUGUGCUAUGCGCCAGCUGUCCCGAAAUAUCUACCCACCUAACGGUCAUAUCAUUGAAGAUCAUUUAUGUCUUAUCAUGUUGGGAUGCUCCCUAGGCUAUAAAUAGCCACCCCCUAGAACCACUAGCUGGUUGGCUGCUCCGAGAGAAAUUGACACUUGUCAUUGAGAGCAUCCCAUCCUCCAAGGACUUUGAGCAAAAAUCAUCAAGUGAGGAAAACCCAAGCACCUACAAACCCAAAGUGAUUGAGCAUCGCUGAAGGGAUUGUUCCUGUAUGGAAUCGACGCUUGUUACCUUUGAGGACUGUGUAUCUUCCAGACGGUUAGGCGUCAUGGUCUGAGCAUCCAAGAGGAAUUGUGGAUCACCGAGUGACCAAGUCUGUGAAGGUUUGGAAGUCACCUAAAGACUUAGCACGAGUGAUUGGGCGAGGUCUGUGUGACUUUAGCUCAAGGAGAAUACGAUGAGGACUGUGUGUCCUUGGGUUUAAAUACCCAGUCGCUCCAACCAGACAUACAACUGUCACAACAGUUGGAACUGGUAUACCAAAUCAUUGUCUUCACCAAGCCAACUAGUUCUAUUUCCUCAACCCUUCAUGUGUUGAUGAACCUGAUCAUUACUGUUUGAAGACUUUCUCUAUUUCCUCUAUCCUAAUUCUUCAGUCACAUAGUCUUCAGCAUGCUUAUCCUGUUUUCAUGCUAUCUGUACUCUGUGCUUGUUUUCAUUUCAUCAUGAUGACUGUGUUGUUGCUCUGUUAUGCUUAUACCUGAGUACUUAUUCCACUUCUAGUGUGUCAUUGCUUAGGAAUUUUUUCACCUAGAAAUUCCUCAGUGACGAAUUUGUAAAAAUCAUCUAUUCACCCCCCCCCUCCAGUCGAUAUAACGCACUUUCAUAUAUGCAUUAUAAUAUAAUUUAUUUUAUUUUGUUUAAUUCUAUUUUGCUUGUGUGUAUUCUAUUAUCAAAACAAAUAAAUCGGAUUCCACCUGUGCUCGGCCUUCCUUCCCUGAUUUCUUUUCGAUCGGGCGCCCGCCCCUUCUUAAUUUGUUUUGCUCGCUUCUAUGUCGGACCCACCCGCCCGCCCAAGCGAUUCGCGUGCUCACUUUCCUCUUCCUCCCCUCCUUCGUUACUUCACCGGACCACCGCUAGAGUCAGAUCCCCUCACCGCUUCCUUGCCUUUCUGGAGUGGACCCCUCCUCCAUGCCUACUCCCUAUAAAGCCUAGCCCCUCCCCGAUUGAUUUUGCCCUAAAACCCUAAUCAGUACCCCCUAUCACCACCGCAUUUGCUCACCGGAGUUCCAAGCCAUCAUCGCACCAUUGAUGCUUCCCCAAGCUUCCUCCGACCACCCGACGCCCCCUGACGCCACCCCUGCACUCCCCUCGCUCCCAUGCAUCCUUGAUGUCUGCUAGAACUACGUCGGUAUUUCCCCAAAGAGGAAGGGAUCAUGCAGCACAGCGAUGGUAGGAAUUUCCCUCAGUGAUGAGAUCAAGGUUAUCGGACUAGAAGGACAACCACGCAACACAACGUAAACAGCUCCUACACACAAAUAACAAAUACUCGCAACCCGACGUGUUAAUUGUCAAUCCCUUUCUGCUAGCGGCGCCAGAAAUUGGCAAGUGGACGGGAGAAAGUUGUAAUAGAUUGGAUAAAUAGAUCUCAAAUAAAAUUAAGUGCAGCAAAGUAUUUUUUGUAUUUUUCGUUUAAUAGAUCUGAAAAUAAAAGCAAAUAAAAAUAGAUCGUGAAGUCAAAUAUAUUAAACAAGAGACCCGGGGGCCGUAGGUUUCACUAGUGGCUUCUCUCGAGAGAAAUAGCAAACAGUGGGAAAAAAAUUACUAUUGGGCAAUUUAUACAACUUCGAAUACUCAUGACGAUAUCCAGGCAAUGAUCAUUAUAUAUGCAUCACGUUCAAGAUUAGUAGACCAACUCCUGCGUGCAUCUACUACUAUUACUCCACGCGUCGACCGCUAUCCAGCAUGCAUCUAGUGUAUGAAGUUCAUGGAGAAAUAGAGUAAUGCAAUAAGAACGAUGACAUGAUGUAGACAAGAUCUAUUUAUGUAGAAAGAGACCUCGCCUUUUUAUCCUUAAUAGCAACGAUACAUACGUGUCGGUUCCCCCUCUGUCACUGGGAUCAAGCAUCGUAAGAUCGAACCCAUCACAAACACCUCUUCCCAUUGCAAGAUAAAUAUGGCCAAACAAAACCCAAAUAUCGGAGAAGAAAUACGAGGAUAUAAGCAAUCAUGCAUAUAAGAGAUGAAAAGAUUCAAAUAACUUUCAUGUAUUAAAACGUAGAACUGAUCAUAAACUCAAAGUUAAUCAGGUCCCAACAAACACACCGCAAAAAGAGAUACAUCAUAUGGAUCUCCAAGAGACCAUUGUAUUGAGAAUCAAACAAGAUAGAGAAAGCCAUCCAGCUACUAACUACCGACCUGUAGGUCUACAAUGAACUACUCACGCAUCAUCGGAGAGGCACCAAUGAGGAUGAUGGACCCCUCCGUGAUGGUGUCUAGAUUGGAUCUGGUGUUUCUUGAACUUGCGGCGUCUGGAAUUGAUUUUCGUCGACUCCCCUAGGGUUUCUAGAAUUGAGGUAUUUAUAGAGCAAAGAGGCGGUGCGGGAGGCCACCGAGGUGGGCACAACCCACCUGGGCGCGCCUGGACCCCGAGAGCGCCCUGGUGGGUUGUGCUCCCCUUGGGGCAACCCUUUGGUACUUCUUUGGCGCAACAGGUGUCAUCUGGUUCAGAAAAAAUCUACAAAAUGUUUAGCUGCAUUUGGACUUUGUUCGGUAUUUAUUUCGUGCGAUGUAAAAAACAAGCAGAAAACAACAACUGGCACUUGGCACUAUGUCAAUAGGUUAGUACCAAAAAUGAUAUAAAAUGAUUGUAAAACAUCCAAAAUGAUAAUAUAACAACAUGGAACAAUCAAAAAUUAUAGAUACGUUGGAGACGUAUCAGCAUCCCAAGCUUAAUUCCUGCUCAUCCUCGAGUAGGUAAAUGAUAAAAACAAAAAUUUUGAUGUGGAAUGCUGCCUAACAUGUUCAUCACAUAUUCUUUUCUUUGUAGCAUGGACAUUUGGACUUUUAUAUGGUUCAAACCAAUAGUCUAAUUUUGACAUGAAGACUUUAAUACUCAAGCAUAUCAACAAGCAACCAUGUCUUUAAAAAUAUCAAUGGUAAAGCAAGUUAUCCCUAGCCCAUUAUACCCAGUCAUUGAUCCAUUCAUGAAACACACUCGAAUACUAGCUAUACCCAAUGCUCAAGUACGAUCAUAGUGCCCCUUAGUUGGUGCUUUAUAAGAGAAGAUGGAUACUCAAGUAAAAAAAUAAAAACUGCAUAAAGUAAAAGAAAGGCCCUUCGCAGAGGGAAGUAGGCAUUAGUAGAGGUGCCAGAGCUCAAAGCGAAAAUUGAGAGAUAAAAACAUUUUAGGAGGCAUACUUUUCCCACCAACGAAAACAACUUAGAUUUCCAACACUUUCCAUGCUAAAUAUGUCAUAGGUGGUUCCCAAAUAGAAAAUAAAUUGUAUUCCUUUUUCCAACAUACUUUCACUUUCCAUGGCUAACCCUAUCCACGGGUGAAGGAAAUAUGCCCUAGAGGCAAUAAUAAAGUUGUUAUUUAUAUUUCCUUAUGUCAUGAUAAAUGUUUAUUAUUCAUGCUAGAAUUGUAUUAGCCGGAAACUUAGUACAUGUGUGAAUACAUAGACAAACUAAGUGUAACUAGUAUGCCUCUACUUGACUAGCUCGUUGAAUCAAAGAUGGGUUAAGUUUCAUAGCCAUAGACAUGAGUUGUCAUUUGAUUAACGGGAUCACAUCCUUAGAGAAUGAUGUGAUUGACUUGACCCAUUCCGUUAGCUUAGCAUUUGAUCGUUUAGUAUAUUGUUAUUUCUUUCCUCAUGACUUAUACAUGUUCCUAUGACUAUGAGAUUAUGCAACUCCCGAAUACCGGAGGAACACUUUGUGUGCUACCAAACGUCACAACGUAACUGGGUGAUUAUCAGGUGUCUCCGAUGGUACUUUAUUGAGUUGGCAUAGAUCGAUAUUAGUAUUUUUCACUCCGAUUGUCAAAGAGGUAUCUCUCUGGGCCCUCUCAGUAAUGCACAUCACUAUAAGCCUUGCAAGCAAUGCAACUAAUGAGUUAGUUGCGGGAUGAUGUAUUACGGAACGAGUAAACAUACUUGCCGGUAACGAGAUUGAACUAGGUAUUGGAUACCGACGAUCAAAUCUCGAGCAAGUAACAUACCGAUGACAAAGGGAACAAUGUAUGAUGUUAUGCGGUUUGACUGAUAAAGAUCUUCGUAGAAUAUGUAGGAGCCAAUAUGAGCAUCUAGGUUCCGCUAUUGGUUAUUGACCGUAGACGUGUCUCGGUCAUGUCUACAUAGUUCUCGAACCCGUAGGGUCCGCACGCUUAACGUUCGGUGAUGAUCGGUAUUAUGAAUUUAUAUGUUUUGAUGUACCAAAGAUAGUUUGGAGUCUCAGAUAUGAGCACGUACAUAACGAGGAGUCUCGAAAUGGUCGAGACAUAAAGAUCAAUAUAUUGGAUGACUAUGUUUGGACUUCAGAAAGGUUCAGGGAAAGUUAGGACAAAAACCGGAGUACCAGGGGGUUACCGGAACCCCCUGGGGAGUGUAUUGGGAGUAUUGGGCCCUAGUGGAGAAGAUGAGGGGCGGCUAGGGCAGGCCACGCGCCCCCUCCCCCCCUCCCCAGUCCGAAUUGGACAAGGAAGGGAGCGGCACCCCCCUUUUUCCUUCCCCCUCUCUCCUCCUUCCUUCCCUCCUACUCCUUCCCUUGGAAGGAGGUGAAUCCUACUCCCGGUGGGAGUAGGACUCCUCCAGGGAGCGCCAUGAGAGGGCCGGCCCUCCCCCCUCCUCCACUCCUUAUACGGGGGAGAGGGCACCCCAUAGACACACAAGUUGAUCUGUUGAUCUUUUAGCCGUGUGUGGUGCCCCCCUCCACCAUUAUCCACCUCGAUCAUAUCGUAGCGGUGCUUAGGCGAAGCUUUGCGUUGGUAGCAUCAUCAUCAUCAUCAUCACUCCAUCGUGCUGACGGAACUCUCCUUCGGCCUCAAUUGGAUCAAGAGUACGAGGGACGUCAUCGAGCUGAACGUGUCCUGAACUCGGAGGUGCCGUGUGUUCGGUACUUGGAUCGGUCGGAUCGUGAAGACGUACGACUACAUCAACCACGUUGAUAUAACGCUUCUACUUAUGGUCUACGAGGGUACGUGGACGACACUCUCCCCGCUCUUUUCUAUGCAUCACCAUGAUCUUGCGUGUGCAUAGGAAUUUAUCUGAAAUUACUACAUUCCCCAACAGUGGCAUCUGAGCCAGGUUUAUGCGUAGAUGUUAUAUGCACGAGUAGAACACAAGUGAGUUGUGGGCGAUACAAGUCAUACUGCUUACCAGCAUGUCAUACUUUGAUUCGGCGGUAUUGUUGGAUGAAGUGGCCCGGACCGACAUUACGCGUAUGCUUAUGCGAGACUGGUUCUACCGACGUGCUUCGCACAUAGGUGGCUGGCCAGUGUCAGUUUCUCCAACUUUAGUCCAUCUAUGUGGCAAGUGCAAGUCACACCCUUCCAUCAAAACUUCUUAAAAAAAAUUCUAUGUGGCAAAGAGUUCUUAUUUGUACUCCUAGAUAGAACCCUCGUAUCACUUGAAUACAUCACUGUGAGUAACACAUACAAUAAUGUACAUUGUAAGUAGAUUAUUUUGUACUUACAAUGUAUCAACACCAUUGCCGUAUUUGUAGUAGGCUUGGCCUCAACACCUUAUAUCGUUGGGCCAUAUAUGGACUUACAUAAAAAAAAGCGGGUCGAUAAUGGCCGUCGCCAUCGGUUGAAAUCUGAAGAUCCAUGCGCCACCGAGUUGACAUUGACUCCACAAAGCAGCCGCCAGAACACAAGGAUAACUUAACUACUCCUACAUCUGUCUGUCAUACAGCGAUUAGUGUUUGAUCUUUUCCCAUAAGCACCGCCUGCAUAUGCAUCUUGCCAUUGUACUGGACUGGGGUCUGGAGUGGACGCAAAGCAAAACCACCUACUAGUCACCUGUCCCCCUCACAAACACGAGCCAAACGGGGAUCAAAGGCACAUGAUGAUAGGAAGUGAGGUGACAUUGUGAUCCAUGAACCGACCGGAAGCCUCAGCCACGAAUGAUUGAUUCCAUAGGCGGUAGAAUACGGUAAUGAUAAUCCCGUGCUCCUUGAUACGUCUCCAACGUAUCUAUAAUUUUUGAUUGCUCCAUGCUAUAUUAUAUACUGUUUUGGGCAAUAUUGGGCUUUAUUAUCCACUUUUAUAUUAUUUUUGGGACUAACCUAUUAACCGGAGGCCCAGCCCAGAUUUGUUGUUUUAUGCCUAUUUCAGUGUUUCGAGGAAAAGGAAUAUCAGACGGAGUCAAAACGGAACGAAAUCAACUGGAGAAGUUAUUUUUGGAAGGAAAGCAACCCAGGGAACUUGGAGUGCAUGUCAGGGGAGAUACGGGCUGCCCACGAGGGUGGGGGGCGCGCCCACCACCCCCGGGCGCGCCCCCUGCCUCGUGGGGCCCCCGUAGCUCCUCCGACGUACCCCCUGCACCCAUAUAUACUCUUGUACCCUAAAACUUCCAGAACAGAAGAUAGAUCGGGAGUUCCGCCGCCGCAAGCCUCUGUAGCCACCAAAAACCUCUCGGGAGCUCAUUCUGGCUCCCUGCCGGAGGGGGGUCCCAUCACCGGUGGCCAUCUUCAUCAUCCCGGCGCUAUCCAUGACGAGGAGCGAGUAGUUCACCCUCGGGGCUGAGGGUAUGUACCAGUAGCUAUGUGUUUGAUCUCUCUCUCUCUCUCUCGUGUUCUCUCUCGUGUUCCAUCUAUGGCACAAUCUUGAUGUAUCCCGAGCUUUGCUAUUGUAGUUGGAUCUUAUGAUGUUUCUCCCCCUCUACUCUCUUGUGAUGAAUUGAGUUUCUCCUUUGAAGUUAUCUUAUCAGAUUGAGUCUUUAUGAGAACACUUGAUGUAUGUCUUGCCGUGAUUAUCUGUGGUGACAAUGGGAUAUCAUGUGCCACUUGAUGUAUGUUUUGGUGAUCAACUUGCGGGUUUCAUGACAUUGGGAACCUAUGCAUAGGGGUUGGCACAUGUUCUUGACUCUCCGAUAGAAACUUUGGGGCACUCUUUGAAGUACUUUGUGUUGGUUGGAUGAAUCUGAGAUUGUGUGAUGCAUAUCCUAUAAUCAUGCCCACGGAUACUUGAGGUGACAAUGGAGUAUCUAGGUGACAUUAGGGUUUUGGUUGAUUUGAAUCUUAAGGUGUUAUUCUAGUAUAAACUCUUUUAUAGAUCGAUCCGAAAGAAUAGCUUUGAGGUGGUUUCGUACCCUACCAUAAUCUCUACAUUUGUUCUCCGCUAUUAGUGGCUUUGGAGUGACUCUUUGUUGCAUGUUGAGGGCUUGUUAUAUUAUCUAUCUAUGUUAUUAUUGUUGAGAGAACUUGCACUAGUGAAAGUAUGAACCCUAGGCCUUGUUUCCUACCAUUUCAAUACCGUUUACGCUCACUUUUACCACUUGUUACCUUGCUGUUUUUAUAUUUUCAGAUAAAAAAACCUAUAUCUACUAUCUAUUUUGCACUUGUAUCACCAUCUCUUCGCCGAACUAGUGCACCUAUACAAUUUACCAUUGUAUUGGGUGUGUUGGGGACACAAGAGACUUUUUGUUAUUUGGUUGCAGGGUUGCUUGAGAGAGACCAUCUUCAUCCUACGCCUCCUACAGAUUGAUAAACCUUAGGUCAUCCACUUGAGGGAAAUUUGCUACUGUCCUACAAACCUGUGCACUUGUAGGCCCAACAACGUCUACAAGAAGAAGGUUGCGUAGUAGACAUCACUCCUGCUUUGCCAACUCCAGCGCGCGACCCCAUCCCGCCCGGCCCCGUUCGUUUGAGGCAAAACGGACAGGCCCCACGGUCCAGCGCGCGAAGGCCUGAACCCAUCCUGUCUAUUUUGUGUCCGGCAUGAUAUGGUCAAGACAUGAUACUAAAUUUUAUUGUAUGAGAUGAUCAUGUUUUGUAACCGAGUUAUUGGCAACUGGCAGGAGCCAUAUGGUUGUCGCUUUAUUGUAUGAAAUGCAAUCGCCAUGUAUUUGCUUUACUUUAUCACUAAGCGGUAGCGAUAGUCGUAGAAGCAAUAGUUGGCGAGACGACAACGAUGCUACGAUGGAGAUCAAGGUGUCGCGCCGGUGACGAUGGUGAUCAUGAUGGUGCUUUGGAGAUGGAGAUCAAAGGCACAAGAUGAUGAUGGCCAUAUCAUAUCACUUAUAUUGAUUGCAUGUGAUGUUUAUCUUUUAUGCAUCUUAUUUUGCUUAGAUCGACGGUAGCAUUAUAAGUUGAUCUCUCACUAAAUAUCAAGCUAUAAGUGUUCUCCCUAAGUAAGCACCAUUGUGACAGUUUGUCAUGCCGAGACACCACGUGAUGAUCGGGUGUGAUAAGCUCUACGUUCACAUACAACGGGUGCAAGUCAGUUUUGCACACGCAGAAUACUCGGGUUAAACUUGACGAGCCUAGCAUAUGCAGAUAUGGCCUCGGAACACUGAGACCGAAAGGUCGAGCGUGAAUAAGAUAGUAGAUAUGAUCAACAUAGUGAUGUUCACCAUUGAAAACUACUACAUCUCACGUGAUGAUCGGACAUGGUUUAGUUGAUAUGGAUCACGUGAUCACUUAGAUGAUUAGAGGGAUGUCUAUCUAAGUGGGAGUUCUUAAGUAAUUUGAUUAAUUGAACUUUAAUUUAUCAUGAACUUAGUAGCUGAUAGUAUUUUGCAUGUCUAUGUUGAUGUAGAUAGAUGGCCCGUGCUAUUGUUCCAUUGAAUUUUAAUGCGUUCCUUGAGAAAGCUAAGUUGAAAGAUGAUGGUAGCAAUUACACGGACUGGGUCCGUAAAUUGAGGAUUAUUGAUGACCCACAAGUGUAGGGGAUCUAUCGUAGUCCUUUUAAUAAGUAAGAGUGUCAAACCCAACGAGGAGCAGAAGGAAAUGACAAGCGGUUUUCAGUAAGGUAUUCUCUGCAAGCACUGAAAUUGUAGGUAACAGAUAGUUUUGUGAUAAGAUAAUUUGUAACGGGUAACAAGCAAUGAAAGUAAAUAAGGUGCAACAAGGUGGCCCAAUCCUUUUUGUAGCAAAGGACAAGCUUGUACAAGUUCUUAUAAUGAGAAAAGCGCUCCCGGGGACAUAUGGGAAUUAUCAUCGAGCUAGUUUUCAUCACGCUCAUAUGAUUCGCGUUCGUUACUUUGAUAAUUUGAUAUGUGGGUGGACCGGUGCUUGGGUACUGCCCUUUCUUGGACAAGCCUCCCACUUAUGAUUAACUCCUAUUGCAAGCAUCCGCAACUACAAAAGAAGUAUUAAGGUAAACCUAACCAUAGCAUGAAACAAGUGGAUCCAAAUCAACCCCUUACGAAGCAACACAUAAACUAGGGUUUAAGCUUCUGUCACUCUAGCAACCCAUCAUCUACUUAUUACUUCCAAAUGCCUUCCUCUAGGCCCAAAUAAUGGUGAAGUGCCAUGUAGUCAACGUUCACAUAACACCACUAGAGGAGAGAAAACAUACAUCUCAUCAAAAUAUCGAACGAAUACCAAAUUCACAUGACUACUAAUAGCAAGACUUCACCCAUGUCCUCAGGAACAAACGUAACUACUCACAAAGCAUAUUCAUGUUCAUAAUCAGAGGGGUAUUAAUAUGCAUUAAGGAUCUGAACAUAUGAUCAGCCACCAAAUAAACCAAUUAGCAUCAACUACAAGGAGUAAUCAACACUACUAGCAACCCACAGGUAAGAAUCUGAGGUUUGGGUACAAAGAUUGGAUACAAGAGAUGAACUAGGGUUUGAGAGGAGAUGGUGCUGGUGAAGAUGUUGAUGGUGAUUGACCCCCUCUCAAUGAGAGGAUCUUUGGUGAUGAUUUCCCCCUCCCGGAGGGAAGUUUCCACGGCAGAACAGCUCCGCCGGAGCCCUAGAUUGGUUCCGCCAAGGUUCCGCCUCGUGGCGGCGGAGUUUCGUCCCGUAAGCUUGCUUAUGAUUUUUUCCAGGGUAAAAGACUUCAUAUAGUAGAAGAUGGGCAUCAGAGGGCCACCAGGGGGCCCACGAGGCAGGGGGCGCGCCCAGUAGGGGUGGGCCCCCUCUGGUACUUCUUUCGCUCAAUAAUUCUUAUUAAUUCCAAAAAUAACUUUCGUGCAGUUUCAGGACUUUUGGAGCUGUGCAGAAUAGGUUCCCAAUGUUUUCUCCUUUUCCAGCCGAGAAUACCAGUUGCCAGCAUUCUCCCUCUUCAUGAUAAACCUUGUAAAAUAAGAGAGAAUAGCCAUAAAUAUUGUGACAUAACGUGCAAUAACAGCCCAUAAUGCAAUAAAUAUCGAUAUAAAAGCAUGAUGCAAAAUGGACGUAUCAACUCCUCCAAGCUUAAACCUCCCUUGUCCUCAAGCGGAAGCUGAUAUCGAAAAAUAUGUCCACAUGUUCAGAGAUAGAGGUGUCAAAAAAUAUAAAAUACGCACAUGAGGGCAUCAUGAUCAUUCUUAUAACAGCAACAUAUAUAGAUUUUGUCAUAUAAUUUCUUAUGCUCAAGUAACAAUCUAUUCACAAUGUCAAGUAGGGUUCAGAAACUUCAUUGAGAACUAGCAAACUAUAAUAUUAGUCAUUGAAGCAAUUGCAAUUUAUCAUAACAUCGGAAAGAGUCAAGAAUAGAGCUUUUCAGCAAGUCCACAUACUCAACUAUCAUUUAGUCUUCUACAAUUGCUAACACUCACGCAAUACGUAUGGUUCUGGAGUUUUAAUCGGACACAGAGAAAGAUAGGGGCUUAUAGUGUUGCCUCCCAAUGUUUUACCUCAAGGGUAAUGUCAACUAUAAUAGUUCAUGCUAACUUACAUCCAAUUGGAUACAUAUAUUAGGAUCUUUCCAACACGAGGUGCUUGCCAAAGGAUAAAAUGAAAAAGGGAAAGGUGAAGAUCACCUUGACUCUUGCAUAAUGUAAAAGAUAGGCCCUUCGCAGAGGGAAGCAGAGGUUGUCAUGUGCUAUUAGGGUUGGAUGCACAAAAUCUUAAUGCAAAAGAACGUUACUUUAUAUUGCCACUUGUGAUAUGGACCUUUAUUAUGCAGUCCGUCGCUUUUAUUACUUCCAUAUCACACGAUCGUAUAAAGCUUAUUUUCUCCGCACUAAUAAGUCAUACAUAUUUAGAGAGCAAUUUUUAUUGCUUGCAACAUGACAACUUACUUGAAGGAUCUUACUCAAUCCAUAGGUAGCUAUGGUGGACUCUCAUGGCAAAAACUGGGUUUAAGGAUAUUUGGAAGCACAAGUAGUAUCUCUACUUGGUGCAAGGAAUUUGGCUAGCAUGAGAGGGAAAGGCAAGAUCAACAUGUUGGAUGAUCCAUGACAAUAUACUUUAACUAAGAUGAGAAAUCAUAACCCAUUACGUUGUCUUCCUUGUCCAACAUCAACUCUUUAGCAUGUCAAACUUAAUGAGUGCUCACAGUCAUAAAAGAUGUCCAAGAUAGUAUAUUUAUAUGUGAAAAAAUAUCUUUCUUUAUUACUUCCUAUUAAUUGCAACGAUGACCAAAACUAUGUUUGUCAACUCUCAACAACUUUUAUGCCUCAUACUCUCUAUGUGUAAAGUCAUUACUAUCCAUAAGAUCAAUAUGAAUUCUUUUAUACUUUUUGUUCUCUUAUGCCCUUAAGAUCAUGGAAAGAUAGCAAAGCCCUUGACUCAACACUAAUCUUUCUUAUAUAUAGAUCACGGACUCGAUUACAUAGAGGGAUCACAAAGCAAAACUCAAAACUAAUUCAUACCAAAACUUUAUUCUACUAGAUCAAGAUAUUACCAAAAGGAUCGAACUAAGAAAAACGGUAAAGAUAGGAGUGUGAUGGUGAUACGAUACCGGGGCACCUCCCCCAAGCUUGGCAGUUGCCAAGGGGAGUGCCCAUACCCAUGUGAUUAUGUGUCCUUCUUCAGAGUUGGUGUUUAUGGAGUCGUUGGUGAUGUAGGCUUUAUCCUCAAUUUGCGCUUGAGCAUGGAAUUUUGCUCCCUGAGAUCAUCAAUCUCCCGCUCAAGGCUUAAUAUCCUUUUGCAUAAUUCAUGUUUGUUUUCCUGCAAGAUACGAAAAGGGAUAAACUUCAUCUUGGGCUUCUUUGCCCUAUCAGGGAGGCUUGACUUUUUGAACUCCACAUGCAUAUCCCCAGGUUGAGGUAAUGGGACUUCAUCUUCAUCUGAGCUUGUCUCCUCCUUUCCCUUAGGCUUGUAGUCUUCUUCUUCCUCAGUGGUCCAGCCACAAUGAUCCAAGUCCUCGUAGACCUUAGGGUCUGCAAGGUAAUCAUCCACAUAGCUUUCUCCCUCCGAAUCCUGGGACUACAUAUUGCUCUAAUCUGCGGCAGAAACAGGUCGAAACGAAAACAGAAGAUUUUUGCGUGAUAUGGUGGUCAAAACCUUUGGGAGAUUAUUUCACUACUAGGGAAAAGCCUAGCAGCAGCACGGGUUUUGGCCCUCUCAGUAGCGCGGGUACCGGCGCUACUAAUAAGGCGCUACAGCUAACGUAUAGCAGUAGCGUCUGUUGACCCGCGCUACUGCUACUGAUGAAUAGAUGUAGCGCUCUUUGUAAAAGGGCGCUACUGAUAUUAUCUGCAGCGCUGUUUAGCAGGAAGCGCUACUGGUAAGUCGGCGCUACUGCUAAAUUUCCCCCCCUCGCUACUACUAGUUUUAUUAGGUUUUUUCCUGCAUAUUUGUUUUUUAAUUUGUUUUGUAUUUGAAUAGGCUUUAUACAAUAAUCUUUAGCAUAUCAUCCACAUACAAAUGUAAUCAUAGCAUAUACAUACAAUUAGUCUCAUCAAAUCAUGUCAUCAUCAUAAUCAUCAUCCAACACAAAGUGGUCUCUCGUCAUCAAUCUCGAAAAUAGCGAUACAAAGUCUCGAUUACUUGCAAAUACAUUGUCAUCCAUCUAAACAAUGAUAUACGCGAGAAUAGCUAUCACUUUGAGUACAUGAUUUCGUAUCCCUCUCCGAAAACCGGUACACCUGGGCCUGACACUCCGGACACUUGUCGUAUAUAUACUCCUGGCGUAGCACUUCUUCGCCAUCUAUGAUCUAUGCACCUGCAUCGUCACAUGAGUCUAUGAUAUGCAACAUAUAUAGUUGAGCAACAGAAAGAGACAGACUUGGCAAAAAUAGAAACAACAUAUCAUAAGCAUAAAUAACAAAGUUCAUCAUACCCAAAAUGACCUAACUAAAGUGAUUUUUGCUAGUCGAGGAGGAGGACGGUUUAAUUACAUCACACAUAAAGUUUCACCGUGCAUAACUCAAAGUUUUGUCAUAAAAGAAAGUAUGGACUAAACGAACACAUUGUCAUAUAUCAACAAUCACUCCAUCAUGUCGUGCCACCCAUCCAUGUCAGGGAGAUAGUCAUCGAGCUUAGUGAAAGGCUUCAUGUCGAGACGCUGAGAGGCUAUCCAUGUUCGGACGUCUUCCCACGACAUUUGUCCUUCUGCAUGGAACAUCCCUAUUUUUCCGAUGACCUCAUUCAUGACGAUUUCGGCAAGUUCGCGCUGGAUGUUAUAGAACUUAGCUCGAAGUCGAUGAUCCUCGAUAUCUCCUAUGUCCUUUGCCCAUUGCAGAAUAUGGGCAUCGCCAGAUCUAGGUGCCAUGUGAAGGUUCUGGUGAUCCCGUCUGUACUCCAGCAUGUGGUGUAGGACAUAGAAUCCAUCAUUACGAGAAUCGUUCGGUUGCUGGAUGCAGCAGAAGUCGGUCUUAUGGCUGAAGGCGGCCCUGCUUCCCCUUCUCUUCUUGUCCCUAACCUCUCCACCCCUUGCUUGGUAGUAAAACAUAGCACUGUCGAGAACAUCUUUGAUGUGGGUGUAAUCCUUUUUGUGAAUGUUCUUCGACGAGUCCAAGUAAAGAGCGUGGGAGAAUCGGGGGUAGAGGAUGAUGAGGACGGCGCGCCCGCCGCUAUGCAAAAUAAGUACACCUCAAAUUAAUUAGCCUCCACCGUGCAAAUGAAUUAUUGAAAUUGAAGGAAGGAUAGCAGCGCGGAUGACUUACAUGGGAUGAUAAGGCACGAGAAUCGCCUCCUUGUCCUUAUAGGCGAGCAUGAAACUGACGAUGUAAUCCCUGCGUAUUCACGAUGCUGUGCACAAACUCCCAAGAAGCCCUCGUGCAUGUAGUACGGGUCAGCGACACAGAUAAAACGUAUCUGCUCAACCCCAGUGAUGUAGUUCAUGUGCAAGGCAUAAAGGCGGACAAAGUAAAAUCCAGCUUCUUCACGUGAAACAUGUCGAAUAUGUAAUCGAAUCAGAGGAAGAACUUAUCCGCGGGGAAGCCAUCGACGUACGACAUUUGCCGUGGAACGUUAACCACGUAGAGUGGGUAUCCUGGAUCUUUCGAGGUGAUGAGGCCUUUCUCUACCCGCAGUACAUCAUCAUGAAGUCUCCUUAGAUCGCCGAAUCUGGCCCGUAGCGCUGUUUCAGGUAGGAUUGGUCGACCGGGGAUAUGCCAUUUAUCCGCAUCGGGGAUAUCUACACGGUCCUGAAGCCGAGGCUGCUGAGGCGGCUAGAUCAUAGAAUCAGCUUUUUUGCCUUUCCUCGCUCUCUUCCUAGACUUCUUUACCACCGGACGGUCGUCAAUAAUAUGUUGAGCCGGUAAUUCAGGCACCGACUCAUGACGCUCAAACCCUGAGGAGGCACCAGUAUUGACAUAAUGUUCAGCGCCAUCGUCAUCCUCAUCCUCAUCCAUGGCGACGUCAUCAGCGACUAAUGGAGCCACCUGCUUACCUCGUCCGCUAUCACCCAACCCGACACCCGACGCUAAUUGGGUAGGUGGGGUGUUGAUGUUCAUACCUUGCUGAGGCUGCAUGCUCAUGGGUGUGCUCCCGGCCGCCUCCAGACGAAGCAGACUCUUUGGCCACAACAGGACCCACCCAUUGCAACAAUCACCAAGCCGCCGCGGGGUCUCGUCAUCAUCCCCCACUAGUAUUAGAGGAGGCAAAUUCUCGUGGCCCGGUUUGACACUGGCCACAGAAACCUUGAAGACGUUCGGGGGGAUCGACCGACUGUGGAACAAUGGUUCCUUCGGGUCCAUUAUCGUCCCCUUCCCCAUGUCCACCUUCUAUUCGCCGAUGGUGUACAAUAUGGUGCACGGGGUUUCGUCGGCCUGCAAAGAAAAGUCUGCGACGUGAGACAUCCGAAAGGCAACAAAAAUAGGAGAUUAUACAUUUAUAUUGAAGGCGGUCGGUGUGACAGAUACCGUGAGGGCGUCGAGCUUAGCCAAAGAGGAGGCACCACCGAGCACGUCCGGUGUGGGAGCCGGUGCGGGAGCCAGUGCGGGAGCAGGUGCGGGAGCCGGUGCGGGAGCAGGUACGGGAGCCGGUGCGGGAGCAGGUGCUCCCAAGAAGUCAGCAAGGGGAAAGUCCUCUGCAUUUUUUCUGGAAUUUGCCUUGUCCAAGUGUAAACGCCCGUCACCAAGGAAGCAGAUAUAUCUGCAAUCGCCUGUUUUGCGGCAGCUACCGCUGUUGCGACUGUCUGAGGUGAUUUCUUGUCAACCGCAAUCUCAACCUUCUUGUCGAUGCUUUCUUCAGUUAACCUUCGUCUUUCCUUUCUCUCCUCCGUGGUCUCACGGUAGUACUUCUUCCACGUGGCGCCGUCUCCGACACCGUGCACGCAUCCAUACGACGGUCGAGUAUCCACCGGUUGUUGUUUCAAUAUGUUCAACGCCCGGUUGAAUGGAGUGUCCCACUUGGGCCUCGCCAAUGCCUCAGACGGCGAGUCGCUUUCGGCCACAAUCCGGUGCUGCUCUCUCUGCAAAAGGCACAAGGAUCAUUUACAAAUAUGACUAACGUGUGCAGUCGAAUUGAUCAGAAACUAAAAUUACCAGCAGUCUCAUGAACUCCGUAAUGAUCGGUGUUGUCUCGUAAACCUUCUUCACUGGGUCCCAACGGUGUCGGGCCCUCAGGACGUCACGCUCCUGCGGGGCGGUGAAAUCCGCCAAGGGGUCUGGGAUGCCCAGACUCGCGGCUUCCGCGUCCUCCUUGGCCCAUUUGGACCUCUUUCCGCCGUAACCACGGCUUCCGAGGUGGUGGCUACCAAUGUUCCUCUUUUGAAGCCCCUUCAUGUACUUAGACUUUUUUUUGGCAGCUUCGGCCUCGCAAGCCUCCGUGAAUAUUUGAAACUGCUCUUCCGUGAUUGUUGGAUUAUCCUUUACAAUCUCGGAGUAGGGUUCCCCGUCGUUGAUCUUUGCUUUCACUCGAUUUUUCCAGGCGGCCAACGCGUCGCUAAACUUGGUCAUGGCGUGUUUGUUUAUCUUCUUCAUUGCCGGGUCCUUGUCUGGAUCUUCAUAAUCCUUCUCAUUCCGGCCGGGGAACAAGAAUAUCUGGUGAAACUUCUUUAGGAGGGAGCUCCUCAUAUUUUCUAUCUUCUUUAGUUUCUCAUCGUUGAUGGUGGCGGUUGUCCGUAUGAUGCAGCCUAUUUGAUUGCCGUAGCACGCGCGCGCUUCCUCUGGCGCCUUUGGAUCAAAAUUGCCGUCGUCCACCUCCGUGACCACCAGUCUAGUAGUCCUGAGUUCGUUAGGAAGCUGUUGCCUCUUUGCUUUCGGUUCUACACUGGCUCCGCUCCUCGAGGAAGCACCGGUCUCAGCGCCGGUCUCGAUGCCGGUCUGAAUCUCAGCGCCGGUCUCAGUCUCAGCACCGGUCUGCGUGUCGGUCUCAGCACCGGUCUGCAUGUCGGUCUCAGUCCCCGAUGCCACUGGUGGGCCCAGCUACAACAUCUGUUGAUCGUCGGUAAGGCUAAACAAUUUGUCUGCCGCCCGGUAGACGUUGUCGCAAUCACCAGAACCCUGUCCUUCAUCAUUGCUAGCCAUGUUUCCUAUGAUUAAAUCUAGUCAAUUAAUUCUAGACCUAACAAAAUGAAUAAUGACAUAAAAAAGGACUAUUGUUUUGCAGGAAUGUUGACUCCUUCCUGGUGCGGCAAAUCCCGGGCACUCGAUAUGUCCUAGUUUGUAGCACAAGUCAUGCCGGAAUUCACGGAAAAUUUCGGCAUGACCUUUGCUAAAAAGUGGACAAAUCGAGAACCUGAAAUUUGCCGGAACAGAAAUGAAUCAACAUUCCGGCAAAACAUAGGCCACUCAGCAUCAUUCCCUGGAAACAGUGUUCAAAUAUCCCUCUUCGACACCGCAACACAUGUCCAAAUAUACACGAGCAACCACAUGUCCAAAUUUCACAAGCUAAUUCAAAAACAAAAUGUAGAAGAAAAUUCAUUUAACUACUAAUAAUCAAAAAAUUCAGUUAACUUUAGUGCUCUAUAAUGAUGAAAAGAAAAAAAUUCAGUUAACUACUAAUUUCAUUCAUUUAGGUUAUUCAUUUAACAUCACAUAAUUAACCUAUUGUACCACUACUACUAGCAGCACUACUAACCUAAUUAACCUAGCAAAACUCUAGUGCCCUAACUGAAAAACAUCUAAUUAACAUCUACUAGUACCACUAUUGCCCUAACCUAAUUAACAUCUACUAGUAUCACUAUGUACUAUACAAGCAGCAUCUACCCUAAUUAAACCCUACUGCCCUAACUAACUUUUGUUGUAAACCAAAUUUUUUGCUCUAAACUAAUUUUUGCUCUAACAUCUACUACUUAACAUUCUUUGCUCUAAACUAAAAUUUUUGCUAUAAACAAACUUUUGCUCUACUAAUUUUUUCUCUAAAAUUCAGAGAGAGAGGAGUAGGGGGGAGGGGUGGGGGACUUACAGAGAGGGGAGAGACAGUGGCGGGGAGGUGCUCGGUGACGGAGGCAGGGGCGGAGAGGGCGGGCUCGAGCAUGGGCAACGACGGUCCUGGGCGGGCUCGGGCGGUGGUGAGGUGGAGGGCGUGGACGGUGACGUCGAGGGAGGCCUCGAUCGGGCGGCGGCGGUGAGGCUGAGGGCGGCCUCGGGCGGCGGCUGUGAGGAUGACGACGGCCUCGGGGAGAGAUAGUGAGGUUGCGGGCGUCCGCGCCGGCAGGAGACGGCGGCGAAGUGGGGCGACGGCGAAUUGGGGAGACGGCGGCGAGGGCGAGGGAUUUGGGGAAGAAGUGUGGCGGCCAGUGGGCGGGGGGGUAACCGCUAUUUAAGUGAAACGUAACGGUAGCGCGUUUCCGAAAACGCGCUAUAGCUAAGUUAGCUACAGCGUGUUUUUGGAAACGCGCUACUGAUAUUCCUUUCUCCUUUUUUCCCUUUUUCUUUUAUUUUUCUUUACAUUUUAUUUUUUUCCCUUUCUCCUUUUUCUAUUUCUUUCAUUUUCAUUUACUUUUCUACUUGUUUUUCACUUUAUUUUAUUUCCGUUAGCAGUAGCGCCUUACACGUAAGCGCGCUACAGCUAAGGAGAGUAGCAGUAGCGCCGGGCUAGUAUACGCACUACUGCUAGGUUGGGCUAGCCAUGUGCGCCCAGUUCAAACAUAGCAGUAGCGCUUUUUGCUAGUACGCGCUACUGCUAAAGUCAUAGCAGUAGCGCGGUUAUUUUACACGCGUUGCUACUAAGUAGCAGUAGCGUUUGAUUUUGUACAGCGCUACUGGUAACAUUCUGUGCAUAAGGUUCCCUAGUAGUGUAUAAUGAUUUUUUACCGACCAAAAGAAGUAAUGUGAGCACACGAGGUGCCCACGAGGCAGGGGGCGCGCCCAGUAGGGGUGGGCGCGCCCUCCACCCUCGUGGAGGCCUCGUGUCCUUCCUGGACUACUUCCUAUUUUCCUAUUUUCUUAAAUAUUCCAAAACGGAGGAAAAUUGCUAUUAGAAUUGUUUUGGAGUUGGUUUAUUUACCGUACCACAUACCUAUUCCUUUUCGGAGUCUGAAACAUUCUGGAAAGUGUCCCUUAUGUAUUCCUCUUGGGUUACGGUUUCAAUAAUAUUAGUUUCAACAUUUAUAGGAUUACCUGAGAUAUAAUGUUUGAUUCUUUGACCGUUCACCACCCUCGGACUUGUGCCUUCGAAGUUGUUGAUUUUUAUGGCACCGGAACGAUAGACCUCCUCGAUAAUGUAAGGGCCUUCCCAUUUAGAGAGAAGUUUUCCUGCAAAAAAUCUAAAAUGAGAGUUGAAAAGCAAAACAUAAUCACCUACGUUGAACUCACGCUUUUGUAUCCUUUUGUCAUGCCAUCUUUUAACUUUUUCUUUGAACAACUUGGCAUUCUCAUAUGCUUGGUUUCUCCAUUCAUCAAGUGAGCUAAUAUCAAAUUACCUCUUCUCACCGGCAAGUUUGAAAUCAUAAUUGAGCUCUUUAAUAGCCCAAUAUGCCUUAUGUUCAAGUUCGAGAGGUAAGUGACAUGCUUUUCCAUAAACCAUUUUAUACGAAGACAUACCCAUAGGAUUCUUAUAUGCAGUUCUAUAGGCCCAUAAUGCAUCGUCAAGUUUCUUGGACCAAUUCUUUCUAGAUCUAUUAAUAGUCUUUUGCAAAAUUAAUUUGAGCUCUCUAUUACUCAACUCUACUUGACCACUAGACUGUGGGUGAUAAGGAGAUGUAAUUCUAUGAUUAACAUCAUACUUAGGAAGCAUUUUACGAAAAGCACCAUGAGUAAAGUGUGAACCACCAUCAGUCAUUAAGUAUCUAGGGACUCCAAACCUCGGAAAAAUAACUUCUUUAAGCAUCUUAAUAGAGGUGUUAUGAUCAGCACUACUAGUUGGAAUAGCUUCUACCCACUUAGGAACGUAAUCAACAGCAACUAAAAUAUGAGUAUAUCCAUUAGAGGCACGAAAAGGUCCCAUAUAAUCAAAGCCCCAAACAUCAAAUGGUUCAAUAACAAGAGAAUAAUUCAUAGGCAUUUCUUGACGUCUACUAAUAUUACCAAUUCUUUGACAUUCAUCACAAGACAAGACAAACUUAUGGGCAUCUUUGAAGAGAGUAGGCCAAUAAAAAUCGGAUUGCAAUACAUUAUGUGCAGUUCUAUCUCCAGCGUGGUGUCCUCCAUAUGGUUCGGAGUGACACUUGCGUAGGAUAUGUUCCUGUUCAUGCUCAGGUACACAACGUCUAAUAACACCAUCUACUCCUUUAUAAAGGCGUGGGUCAUCCCAGAAGUAAUGUCUUAAAUCAUAAAAGACCUUUUUCUUUUGCUGGUAUGUGAAACUAGGUGGUAUAAAUUUAGCAACAAUGUAAUUAGCAUAAUCAGCAUACCAUGGAGCAGUAUGAGAAGCAUUUAUGACAGUUAAUUGUUCAUCAGGAAAACUAUCAUCAAUAGGUAGCGGGUCAUCAAGAACAUUCUCUAGCCUAGACAAGUUGUCUGGAACGGGGUUGUCAUCUCCCUUUCUAUCAAUAAUACGCAAAUAAAAUUCUUGGAGCAAGAGGACCCAUCUAAUAAGUCUAGGUUUAGCAUCUUUCUUUUCCAUAAGAUAUUUAAUAGCAGCAUGAUCAGUGUGAAUAGUUACUUUAGAAUCAACAAUAUAAGGUCUGAACUUAUCACAUGCAAAUACAACUGCUAAGAAUUGUUUUUCAGUAGUAGCAUAAUUUCUCUGGGAAGUGUCAAGAGUUUUACUAGCAUAUUGAAUAACAUUUAAUUUCUUAUCAACUCUUUGCCCUAGAACAGCACCUAUAGCAUAAUCACUAGCAUCACACAUAAUUUCAAAGGGUAAAUUCCCAUCAGGUGGUUGAACAAUAGGUGCAGUGAUCAAAGCUUUCUUAAGUAUUUCAAAUGCUUCUACACAAUCAUCAUCGAAAACAAAAGGAAUAUCUUUUUGUAAUAGGUUAGUGAGAGGCCUAGAGAUUUUAGAAAAGUCCUUAAUGAACCUCCUAUAAAAACCGGCAUGACCAAGGAAACUUAGUAUACCUUUUAUGUCCUUGGGACAUGACAUCUUUUCAAUAGCAUCAACUUUAGCUUUAUCAACUUCAAUACCUCUUUCAGAAAUUUUAUGCCCCACGACAAUGCCUUCAUUAACCAUAAAGUGACACUUCUCCCAAUUCAAGAUGAGACUAGUGUCUUCACAUGUCUGCAAAACUCGAUCAAGGUUGCUCAAGCAAUCGUCAAAAGAGGAUCCAUAAAUGGAGAAAUCAUCCAUGAAUACCUCACAAAUCUUUUCACAGAAGUCAGGGAAUAUAGCCAUCAUGGAUCUUUGAAAGGAGGCGGGUGCAUUACAUAAACCACAAGGCAUACGUCUAUAAGCAAAAGUACCGAAAGGGCAAGUAAAAGUAGUUUUUGCUUGAUCGUCCGCUGAUACAGGUAUUUGAGAAAAACCAGAAUAACCAUCUAGAAAGCAGAAAUGUGUAUGUUUGGAUAGUCUUUCUAGCAUUUGAUCAAUAAAAUGUAAAGGGUAAUGAUCUUUCUUAGUAGCUUUAUUUAAUUUGCGGAAAUCAAUUACCAUCCUAUAACCUGUAAUAAUUCUUUGCGGGAUCAGUUCAUCUUUAUCAUUGGGAACGACAGUAAUACCUCCCUUCUUAGGGACACAAUGGACAGGACUUACCCACUCACUAUCAGCAACGGGAUAAAUUAUACCUGCCUCAAGGAGCUUUAGUAUUUCCUUUCUUACCACUUCUUUCAUCUUAGGAUUUAACCGUCGUUGAUGAUCUCUAACUGGUUUGGCGUCUUCGUCCAAUUUAAUUUUGUGUUGGCAUAGAGUGGGACUAAUGCCCUUAAGAUCAUCAAGAGUAUAUCCAAUAGCAGCACAGUGCUUCUUUAGAGUUUUCAAUAAUCUUUCCUCUUCCUGCUCUGAAAGGUUAGCACUAAUAUAACAGAAUAUAUCUUCUUUUCAUCAAGGUAAGCAUAUUUAAGAGUAUCAGGUAAAGGUUUAAGCUCAAACAUGGGAUCACCCUUGGGUGGAGGAGGAUCCCCAAGGAUUUCAGCAGGUAAGUUGUGUUUCACAAUAGGACCCUGUUUAAGGAAUACUUCAUCUGUUUCCCUUCUUUCAUUCAUAAACAUAUCAUUUUAUGGUCUAGCAAAUAUUGUUCUAACGGAUCAGUAGGAGGCACGACAAUAGAAGCAAGACCAAUAAUUUCAUCCUUACUAGGCAAUUCUUUACCAUGGGGUUGUCUACAAAAUUUAGCAAAAUUAAACUCAUGUGUCGUAUCCCCCAGACCAAUAGUAACAACAUCCUUUUCACAAUCAAUCCUAGCAUUAGCAGUGUUCAAGAAGGGUCUACCAAAUAUAAUGGGAAAAAAUCUAUCUUGUGGGGAACCAAGAACAUGGAAAUCGGCAGGAUAUUUAACUUUCCCACACAAGACUUCAACAUCUCUAACAAUCCCAAAUGGUGAAAUAGUAUCUCUAUUGGCAAGCUUAAUUGUAACAUCAAUAUCUUCUAACUCGGCGGGUGCAAUAUCAUGCAUAAUUUCAUUAUAUAAGGAAAUAGGUAUUGCACUAGCACUAGCACACAUAUCACAUAAGCCAUGAUAACAAUGAUCUCCUAUUUUAACAGAAAUAACAAGCAUGCCUACAACAGGUCUAUGUAUCUUAGCAUCGGGUUUAGCAAUAUUAGCAGCUUCCUCACAGAAGUAAAUAACAUGCCCAUCAAUAUUAUCAGCCAAGAGAUCUUUAACCAUAGCAAUACUAGGUUCAACUUUAAUUUGCUCAGGAGGUGUAUAAGUUCUAGUAUUACUCUUACGAACAACAAUUGAAGCUUUAGCAUGAUCCUUUAUCCUAACAGGGAAAGGUGGUUUCUCAACAUAAGUAGUAGGAACAAUAGGAUCAUUAUAAGUGAUAAUCUUUUCUUCAACUGCAACAGGUGCAACUACUUUUACUUCAAUGGGAGGAUUAUAUUUAAACCACUUCUCCUUAGGGAGAUCAACGUGAGUAGCAAAUGAUUCACAGAAGGAGGCUACUAUCUCAGAGUCAAGUCCAUAUUUAGUCCUAAAUCCACGAAAAGCAUCGGUAUCCAUAAAAGACUUAAUACAAUCAAACUUAGGUGUCAUACCUGACUCCUUACCAUCGUCGGAACCCCAAUCUUCAGAGUUGCGUUUAAUUCUUUCCAAUAAGUCCCACUUGAAUUCAAUAGUCUUCAGCAUAUAGGAACCAGCACAGGAAGUAUCGAGCAUGGUGCGAUCAUUGACAAAAAGCCGAGCAUAAAAAUUUUGAAUAAUCAUUUCUCUUGAGAGCUCAUGAUUGGGGCAUGAAUAUAACAUUGACUUAAGCCUCCCCCAAGCUUGAGCGAUACUUUCUCCUUCACGAGGCCAAAAAUUAUAUAUAUAAUUAUGAUCACGAUGAACAAGAUGCAUAGGAUAGAACUUCUGGUGAAAUUCCGAUUUCAAUCAUUUAUAGUCCCAAGAUCCCGUAUCAUCACAUAGCCUAUACCAUGUCAAUGCGUCUACCUUCAAAGAUAAAGGGAAGACCUUCCUCUUGACAACAUCGUCGGGCAUACCUGCAAGCUUAAAUAAUCCACAAACUUCAUCCACAUAGAUAAGGUGUAAAUCGGGAUGCAAUGUUCCAUCUCCUGCAAAGGGAUUAUUUAGCAGUUUCUCUAUCAUACCCGAAGGAAUCUCAAAGUAAACAUUUUCAGUAGGUUGAGUAGGUUGAGGAGCAACCCUUUGCUCUACUGGUCGGGGUGAAGAUGCCCCGAACAAUCCACUCAAACGAUUAGUUUCCAUAGUAACAAGUGACAGAAAAUUUCAGCACACUAUAUAAAUGUUUCCUUACCAAGUUCCACUCACCAAAGGAGCUUCACUCCCCGCAACGGCGCCAAAAAAGAGUCUUGAUGACCCACAAGUGUAGGGGAUCUAUUGUAGUCCUUUCGAUAAGUAAGAGUGUCGAACCCAACGAGGAGCAGAAGGAAAUGACAAGCGGUUUUCAGUAAGGUAUUCUCUGCAAGCACUGAAAUUGUAGGUAACAGAUAGUUUUGUGAUAAGAUAAUUUGUAAUGGGUAACAAUUAAUGAAAGUAAAUAAGGUGCAGCAAGGUGGACCAAUCCUUUUUGUAGCAAAGGACAAGCCUGGACAAGUUCUUAUAUGAGAAAAGCUCUCCCGAGGACACAUGGGAAUUAUUGUCAAGCUAGUUUUCAUCACGCUCAUAUGAUUUGCGUUCGUUACUUUGAUAAUUUGAUAUGUGGGUGGACCAGUGCUUGGGUACUGCCCUUUCUUGGAAAAGCAUCCCACUUAUGAUUAACCCCUAUUGCAAGCAUCUGCAACUACAAAAGAAGUAUUAAGGUAAACCUAACCAUAGCAUGAAACAAGUGGAUCCAAAUCAGCCCCUUACGAAGCAACGCAUAAACUAGGGUUUAAGCUUCUGUCACUCUAGCAACCCAUCACCUACUUAUUACUUCCAAAUUCCUUCCUCUAGGCCCAAAUAAUGGUGAAGUGUCAUGUAGUCGACGUUCACAUAAAACCACUAGAGGAGAGACAACAUACAUCUCAUCAAACUAUCGAACGAAUACCAAAUUCACAUGACUACUAAUAGCAAGACUUCACCCAUGUCCUCAGGAACAAACAUAACUACUCACAAAGCAUAUUCAUGUUCAUAAUCAGAGGGGUAUUAAUAUAAAUUAAGGAUCUGAACAUAUGUUCUUCCACCAAAUAAACCAAUUAGCAUCAACUACAAGGAGUAAUCAACACUACUAGCAACCCACAGGUACCAAUCUGAGGUUUGGGUACAAAGAUUGGAUACAAGAGAUGAGCUAGGGUUUGAGAGGAGAUGGUGCUGGUGAAGAUAUUGAUGGAUAUUGACCACCUCUUGAUGAGAGGAUCAUCGGUGAUGAUGAUGGUGAUGAUUUCCCCCUCCUGGAGGGAAGUUUCCCCGGCAGAACAGCUCUGCUGGAGCCCUAGAUUGGUUCCGCCAAGGUUCCGCCUCGUGGCGGCGGAUUUUUGUCCUGUAAGCUUGCUUAUGAUUUUUUCGGGGGUAAAAGACUUCAUAUAGCAGAAGAUGGGCACUGAAGGGCCACCAGGGGGACCACGAGGCAAGGGGUGCCGCCCAGUAGGGGUGGGCGCCCCCGCCCACCCAUGUGGCCAGGGUGUGGGCCCCCUCUGGUACUUCUUUCGCUCAAUAAUUCUUAUUAAUUCCAAAAAUGACUUUCGUGGAGUUUCGGGACUUUUGGAGCUGUGCAGAAUAGGUUUCCAAUAUUUUCUUCUUUUCUAUCCCAAAAUCCUAGCUGCCGACAUUCUCCCUCUUCAUGAUAAACCUUGUAAAAUAAGAGAUAAUAGCCAUAAAUAUUAUGACAUAACAUGUAAUAAUAGCCCAUAAUGCAAUAAAUAUCGAUAUAAAAGCAUGAUGCAAAAUCGACGUAUCAAUUAUCCUCAUUGCUGCAUAGAAGAAAUACGUCCUGGAAGCAACGCUAGGUGCCAGACUCACUGCAGGAGCAAUGCCACAUGUUAUGAACAUCUGGCAGAGCAAAGCUGAUGACUACUCUAUAGUUCAGUGUGCCAUGCUUUACGGCUUAGAACCGGGACUUCAACGACGUUUUGAACAUUAUGGAGCAUAUGAGAUGUUCUAGGAGUUGAAGUUAAUAUUUCAAGCAAAUGCCCAGAUUGAGAGAUAUGAAGUCUCCAAUAAGUUCUACAGCUGCAAGAUGGAGGAGAAUAGUUAUGUUAGUGAGCAUAUACUCAGGAUGUCUGGGUAUAAACAUCACUUUAUUCAACUGGGAGUUAAUCUUCCAGAUGAUAGUGUCAUUGACAGAAUUCUUCAAUCACUACCACCAAGCUACAAGAGCUUCAUGAUGAACUAUAAUAUGCAAGGUAUGGAUAAGACUAUUCCCGAGCCCUUCGUGAUGUUAAAGGCUGCGGAGGUAAAAAUCAAGAAGGAGCAUCAAGUGUUGAUGGUUAACAAGACCACCAGUUUCAAGAAAAAGGGUAAAGGGAAGAAAGGGAAAUUCAAGAAGAACAGCAAGCAAGUUGCUGCUCAAGUGAAUAAGCCCAAGUCUGGACCUAAGCCUGAGAUUGAGUGCUUCUACUGCAAAGGGACUGGUCGCUGGAAGCGGAACUGCCCCAAGUAUUUGGCGGAUAAGAAGGAUGGCAAGGUGAACAAAGGUGUAUGUGAUAUACAUGUUAUUGAUGUGUACCUUACUAAUGCUCGCAGUAGCACCUGGGUAUAUGAUAUUGGUUCUGUUGCUAAUAUUUGCAACUCGAAACAGGGACUACGAAUUAAGCAAAGAUUGGCUAAGGCCGAGGUGACGAUGCGCGUGGGAAAUGGUUCCAAAGUCGAUGUGAUCGCAGCCAGCACGAUACCUCUACAUCUACCUUCGGGAUUAGUUUUAGACCUGAAUAAUUCUUAUUUGGUGCCAGCGUUGUGCAUGAACAUUAUCUCUGGAUCUUGUUUGAUGCGAGACAGUUAUUCAUUUAAAUCCGGAAAUAAUGGUUGUUCUAUUUAUAUGAGUAAUAUCUUUUAUGGUCAUGCACCCUUGAAGAGUGGUCUAUUUAUAUUGAAUCUCGAUAGUAGUGAUACACAUAUUCAUAAUAUUGAAGCCAAAAGAUGUAGAGUUGAUAAUGAUAGUGCAACUUAUUUGUGGCACUGCCAUUUAGGUCAUAUUAGUGUAAAGAGCAUGAAGAAACUCUAUUCUGAUGGACUUUUGGAAUCACUUGAUUGUGAAUCACUUGGUACUUGCGAACCAUGCCUCAUGGGCAAGAUGACUAAAACGCCGUUCUCCAGAACAAUGGAGCGAGUAACAAAUUUGUUGGAAACCAUACAUACAUAUGUAUGUGGUCCAAUCAAUGUUGAGGCUCGCGGCGGGUAUCAUUAUUUUCUCACCUUCACAGAUGAUUUGAGCAGUUAUGGGUAUAUCUACUUGAUGAAACAUAAGUUUGAAACAUUUGAAAAGUUCAAAGAAUUUCAUAGUGAAGUGGAAAAUCAUCGUAACAAGAAAAUAAAGUUUCUACGAUCUGAUCGUGGAGGAGAAUAUUUGAGUUAUGAGUUUGGUCUUCAUUUGAAACAAUGCGGAAUAGUUUCGCAACUCACGCCACCCGGAACACCACAACGUAAUGGUGUGUCCAAACGUUGUAAUCGUACUUUACUAGAUAUGGUGCGGUCUAUGAUGUCUCUUACUGAUUUACCGCUAUCGUUUUGGGGUUAUGCUUUAGAGACGGCUGCAUUCACGUUAAAUAGGGCACCAUCUAAAUCCGUUGAGACGACGCCUUAUGAACUGUGGUUUGGCAAGAAACCAAAGUUGUCGUUUCUUAAAAUUUGGGGCUACGAUGCUUAUUUGAAAAAGCUUCAACCUGAUAAGCUCGAACCCAAAUCGGAGAAAUGUGUCUUCAUAGGAUACCCAAAGGAUACUGUUGGGUACACCUUCUAUCACAGAUCCGAAGGCAAGAUAUUCGUUGCUAAGAAUGGAUCCUUUCUAGAGAAGGAGUUUCUCCCGAAAUAAGUGAGUGGGAGGAAAGUAGAACUUGAUGAGGUAACUAUACCUGCUCCCUUGUGGAAAGUAGUUCAUCACAGAAAUCUGUUCCUGUGACUCCUACACCAAUUAGUGAGGAAGCUAAUGAUGAUGAUCAUGUAACUUCAGAUCAAGUUACUACCGAACCUUGUAGGUCAACCAGAGUAAGAUCCGCACCAGAGUGGUAUGGUAAUCCUGUCCUCAAGGUCAUGUUACUUGACCAUGACGAACCUACGAACUAUGAGGAAGCGAUGAUGAGCCCAGAUUCCGUGAAAUUGCUUGAGGCCAUGAAAUCUGAGACGGGAUCCGUGUAUGAGAACAAAGUGUGGACUUUGGUUGACUUGCCCGAUGAUCGGCAAGCCAUCAAGAAUAAAUGGAUCUUCAAGAAGAAGACUGACGCUGAUGGUAACGUUACUGUCUACAAAGCUCGACUUGUCGCGAAAGGUUUUCAACAAGUUCAAGGGGUUGACUACGAUGAGACUUUCUCACCUGUAGCGAUGCUUAAGUCCGUCCGAAUCAUGUUAGCAAUUUCCGCAUUUUAUGAUUAUGAAAUUUGGCAAAUGGAUGUAAAGACUGCAUUCCUGAAUGGUUUUCUGGAAGAAGAGUUGUAUAUGAUGUAGCCCGAAGGUUUUAUCAAUCCAAAGGAUGCUAACAAAGUGUGCACGCUCUAGCGAUCCAUCUAUGGACUGGUGCAAGCAUCUCGGAGUUGGAAUAAACAUUUUGAUAGUGUGAUCAAAGCAUAUGGUUUUAUACAGACUUUUGGAGAAGCCUGUAUUUACAAGAAAUUGAGUGGGAGCUUUGUAGCAUUUCUAAUAUUAUAUGUGGAUGACAUAUUUUUGAUUGGAAAUCAUAUAGAAUUUCUGGAUAGCAUAAAAGGAUACUUGAAUAAGAGUUUUUCAAUGAAAGACCUCGGUGAAGCUGCUUAUAUAUUGGGCAUCAAGAUCUAUAGAGAUAGAUCAAGACGCUUAAUUGGACUUUCACAAAGCACAUACCUUGAUAAAGUUUUGAAGAAGUUCAAAAUGGAUCAAGCAAAGAAAGGGUUCUUGCCUGUGUUACAAGGUGUGAAGUUGAGUCAAACUCAAUGCCCGACCACUUCAGAAGAUAGAAAGAAAAUGAAAAUAGUUCCCUAUGCUUCAGCCAUAGGCUCUAUCAUGUAUGCAAUGUUGUGUACCAGACCUGAUGUGUGCCUUGCUAUUAGCUUAGCAGGGAGGUACCAAAGUAAUCCAUGAGUGGAUCACUGGACAGCAGUCAAGAACAUCCAGAAAUACCUGAAAAGGACUAAGGAUAUGUUUCUCAUUUAUGGAGGUGACAAAGAGAUCGUCGUAAAUGGUUACGUCGAUGCAAGCUUUGACACUGAUCCGGCUGAUUCUAAGUCACAAACCGGAUACGUGUUUAUAUUGAAUGGUGGAGCUGUCAGUUGGUGAAGUUCUAAGCAAAGCGUCGUGGUAGGAUCUACAUGUGAAGCGGAGUACAUAGCUGCUUAGGAAGCAGCAAAUGAAGGAGUCUGGGUGAAGGAGUUCAUAUCCGAUCUAGGUGUCAUACCUAGUGCAUCGGGUCCAAUGAAAAUCUUUUGUGACAAUACUGGUGCAAUUGCCUUGGCAAAGGAAUCUGGAUUUCACAAGAGAACCAAACACAUUGAGAGAUGCUUCAAUUCCAUCCGCGAUCUAGUCAAGGAGGGAGACAUAGAGAUUUGCAAGAUACAUACGGAUCAGAAUGUUGCAGACCCGUUGACUAAGCCUCUCUCACGAGCAAAACAUGAUCAGCACCAAGACUCCAUGGGUGUUAGAAUCAUUACUGUGUAAUCUAGAUUAUUGACUCUAGUGCAAGUGGGAGACUGAAGGAAAUAUGCCCUAGAGGCAAUAAUAAAGUUGUUAUUUACAUUUCCUUAUGUUAGGAUAAAUGUUUAUUAUUCAUGCUAGAAUUGUAUUAGCCGGAAACUUAGUACAUGUGUGAAUACAUAGACAAACUAAGUGUCACUAGUAUGCCUCUACUUGACUCGCUCGUUGAAUCAAAGAUGGUUAAGUUUCCAAGCCAUAGACAUGAGUUGUCAUUUGAUUAACGGGAUCACAUCAUUAGAGAAUGAUGUGAUUGACUUGACCCAUUCGGUUAGCUUAGCACUUGAUCGUUUAGUAUAUUGCUAUUGCUUUCUUCAUGACUUAUACAUGUUCCUAUGACUAUGAGAUUAUGCAACUCCUGAAUACUGGAGGAACACUUUGUGUGCUACCAAACAUCACAACAUAACUGGGUGAUUAUAAAGGUGCUCUACAGGUAUCUCCGAUGGUACUUUAUUGAGUUGGCAUAGAUCCAGAUUAGGAUUUGUCACUCCGAUUGUCGGAGAGGUAUCUCUCUGGGCCCUCUCGGUAAUGCACAUCACUAUAAGCCUUGCAAGCAAUGCAACUAAUGAGUUAGUUGCGGGAUGAUGUAUUACAGAACGAGUAAAGAGACUUGUCGGUAAUGAGAUUGAACUAGGUAUUGGAUACCGACGAUCGAAUCUUGGGCAAGUAACAUACCGAUGACAAAGGGAAAAUGUAUGUUGUUAUGCGGUUUGACCGAUAAAGAUCUUCGUAGAAUAUGUAGGAGCCAAUAUGAGCAUCCAGGUUCCGCUAUUGGUUAUUGACCAGAGACGUGUCUCGGUCAUGUCUACAUAGUUCUCGAACCCGUAGGGUCCGCACGCUUAACAUUCAGUGACAUCGGUAUUAUGAGUUUAUAUGUUUUUAUGUACCGAAGAUAGUUUGUAGUACCGGAUAUGAUCACAGACAUAACAAGGACUCUCAAAAUGGUUGAGACAUAAAGAUCGAUAUAUUGGAUGACUAUGUUUGGGCUUCAGAAAGGAUUCGGGCAAGUUCGGACAAAACCGGAGUACGGGGGGUUACCGGAACCCCCCGGGGAGUGUAUUGGGCCAAUUGGGCCCUAGUGGAGAAGAGGAGGGGCGGCCAGGGCAGGCCGCGCGCCCCCUCCCCCCUGCUCCGAAUUGGACAAGGAAGGGGGGCGGCGCCCCCCUUUUUCCUUCCCCCUCUCUCCUCCUUCCUUCCCUCCUACUCCUUCUCUUGGAAGGGGGAAUCCUACUCCCGGUGGGAGUAGGACUCCUCCAGGGCGUGCCAUGAGAGGGCCAGCCCUCCCCCCUCCUCCAUUCCUUUAUAUACGGGGGAGGGGGCACCCCAUAGACACACGAGUUGAUCUGUUGAUCUUUUAGCCGUGUGCGGUGCCCCCCUCCACCAUAAUCCACCUUGAUCAUAUCGUAGCGGUGCUUAGGUGAAGCCUUGCGUCGGUAGCAUCAUCAUCAUCGUCAUCACACUGUCAUGCUGAUGGAACUCUCCCUCGGCCUCAACUGAUCAAGAGUAUGAGAGACGUCAUCGAGCUGAACGUGUGCUGAACUCCAAGGUGCCGUGCGUCUGGUACUUGGAUCGGUCGGAUCGUGAAGAUGUACGACUACAUCAACCGUGGUUAUAUAACGCUUCCGCUUACAGUCUACGAGGGUACGUGGACGACACUCUCCUCGCUCGUUGCUAUGCAUCACCAUGAUCUUGCGUUUGCGUAGGAUUUUGUUUGAAAUUACUACGUUCCCCAACAACGGGUGCCCUCCAUACCAACACUUUCCAAGGAAUUUAUUAUUUGGCAACAUAAAGUAAAUUCAUUUUUCAUUUCGGGACUAGGCAUCCCUAAUAUCUUUGUCGUACUCUCAUGCAAUAGCAAUUGGAUAGACACUCAUCGUGAGAAUAACACAUCUAGCAUGGAAAAUAUUGGCCACCCCUCACCGCCUCGCGAGCGGUACGAGCACACAAAAGAAAAUUUUAUUUUGAAAAAUAGAGAUAGCACAUACAAAUUUGCUUCGAACGGCAUGGAAAUACCGCAUAUAGGUAGGUAUAGUGUACUCAUAUGACAAAACUGGUUUAAAGGGUUUUGAAUGCACAAGUAGUGAUCAUACUUAGUGCAAAUAAAGGCUAGAAAAAAGAUUGAGAAGCCUCCAACCAAGAAACGGAAAAUCUCAUAAGCGAGCAUUAAGCAUAACUAACACCGAAUAAUGCACCACCAGUAGGAUGUAAUUUCAUUGCAUAACUAUUGACUUUCAUGCUUGCAUAGGGAAUCACAAACCUUAACACUAAUAUUCUUACUAAAGCAUAAUUACUCAUCAACAUGACUCACAUAUCAUAUCGUCAUAUCUCAAAACUAUUACAAAGAACCAAGUUUAUUUUGUCCAAUGAUCUUCAUGAAAGUUUUUAUUCUAUUCUCCUUGUAUAUCUAUCACUUUUGACUAAUUUCAUAUGUUGCUUUUACUAAGCUCAAGCAAAUAUAAGUGAAGAACAUGAGCAUAGUAUUUCUUUCUCUCAAAAUAAUCUAAGUGAAGCAAGAGAGAAUUUCGUAAAAAAAUUACAAACUCUCAAAUAAAUCUAAGUGAAGCAUGAGAGCAUUUCUUCAAAAAUAACAAAGCACACCGUGCUCAAAAAGAUAUAAGUGAAGCACUAGAGCAAUUCCAUGGCUCUAAAAAUUGAAGUGAAUCAUAGGAGCAACCAUAUUUUUGGCUCUCUCAAAAAGGUGUGUCCAGCAAGGAUUCAAGACUUAAAAUAAAAAGAAAAACAAGCAAAGACUCAUAUCAUACAAGACGCUCCAAUCAAAACUCGUAAUAUGAGAUGAAUAAAAAUAUUGCUCCAAGUAAAAUACCGAUGGUUGUUAGAAGAAAGAGGGGAUGCCACUUGGGGGCAUUCCCAAGCUUAGUUGCUUGAUACUUCUUGAAUAUUAUCUUGGGGUGCCUCGGGCAUCCCCAAGAUUAGCCUUUUGCUAAUCCGUAUUCCUUCAUCCAUCAUAAUAUCACCGGAAACUUGAAAACUUCAAUCACACAAAACUCAACAAAACCAUCGUGAGAUCCGUUAGUAUAAGAAAGCAAACCAUUACUAUAAGUACUGUUGCACACAAAUUCAUAUUUUAUUUUUGCAUUACAUAUACUGUAUUCCAACUUUUCUAUGGCAAAAACUCUUCAACGAAAACCAUAGAAUCAUCAAAACAAGCGCACAACGCAAAGAAAACAAAAUAUGUCAAAAACAGAACAGUUGUAGCAAUCUGGAUAUUUCGAAUACUUCUGUAACUCCAAAAAUUCUGAAAAAUUAGGACAACAUGAGAAAUCUGCAUACUAAUCUUCUGCAAAAAUAAUUAACUCAAAAUCACUCUUCUGUUAACAAUGGUAAUUAUUUUCUUGAGCGCAAAAGUUUCUAUUUUUCAGCAAGAUCAAAUCAACUCUCACCCAAAUCAUCCCAAAGGCUUUGCUUGGCACAAACACUAAUUUAAACCUCAAAAACACAUCUAAUCAGAGGCAUAAUUGGGUAUUUUAUUGAAAACAGCAAGAAAACCAAAAACCAAAAAUAUACGAGUUGGGUUGCCUCCCAACGAGCUCUAUCAUUUUGCGCCCCUAGCUAGGCAUAAGAUUUAAAUGAUGCUCACAUGAAAGAUAGUAAUUGAAACACAAAGAGAGCAUCAUGUAAGAGGUGAAAAACACAUUUAAGUCUAACAUACUUCCUAUGCAAAGGAAUUUUAUAGGCAAACAAAUUAUCAAGACAAGAAAUAUAUCUAGCAUAUGGAAAGGAGAGGAAUAAAACCUUGACAAUCUAACAAAAUGAGAGGUAAUUUAGUAACAUGAAAAUUUCUACAACCAUAUUUUCCUCUCUCAUAAUAAUUACAUGUAGGAUCAUACUCAAAUUCAACAAUAUAACUAUCACAAACAAUAUUAUCUUAUGAUCCACAUGCAUAAAAAUUUGACGCUCUUCCAAAUCAGUGGGAUUAUCAUCAAAUAAAGUCAUGACCUCUCCAAGACCACUUUCAUGAAAAAAUUCAUAAGAUUGAACACUCUACAAAUAAGUGGGGUUAUUUUUAGCUAAAGUUGACACUCUUCCAAACCCACUUUUAAUAUUAUUGCAAUCAUAUCAAUCAUGAAGUUUAAAUAAAUUUUGAAGAUCAUAAGAAUCAUUAUCACCCCAAUCAUGAUCAUUGCAAUAAGUAGUGGACAUAGCAAAACAAGCAUCCCCAAGCUUAGGGUUUUGCAUAUCACUAACACAAUUGACAUUAACGGAAUUUAUAAUAACAUCAUUGCAAUCAUGCUUUUCAUUCAAGGAGAUAUCAUGAAUCACAUUAUAAAUUCCUUCGUUUAACACUUCAUCACAAUUUUCAUAUUCAUAAAUCUCAAGCAAAACUUCAUAAUCAUAACCUAAUGAACCCAAUUCACUAGCAAUGGGUUCAUCAUAAUUGGAUCUCUUGAAAAGAUUAGCAAGUGGAUGAGCAUCCAUAUCAAUAGAUUUUUAGCAAGCGAAGAUGCAAGCAAAUAGAAGACACAUGGCAACACAAGCAAACAACAGAUCUGACAAGAAAAACGGCGAAUGGAAAAGAGGGCGAAUAAAACGGCAAAUUUUUGUGAAGUGGGGGAGAUGAAAACGAGAGGCAAAUGGCAAAUAAAGUAAAUUUAAAAGAGAUGAUAUUUGUGAUUAGGAACCUGGUAGAUGUUGAUGAUGUCUCCCCGGCAACGGUGUCUGAAAUUCCUUUUGAUGUCUGCUAGAACUACGUCAGUAUUUCCCCAAAGAGGAAGGGAUGAUGCAGCACAGCAAUGGUAGGUAUUUUCCUCAGUGACGAGACCAAGGUUAUCGAACUAGUAGGAGAGCCACGCAACACAACAUAAACAACUCCUGCACACAACUAACAAAUACUUGCAACCCGACGUGUUAAAGGGGUUGUCGGGUAAUGGCGCCAGAAAUUGGCAAGUGGACGUGAGAAAGUUGUAAUAGAUUGGCUAAAAAGAUCGCAAAUAAAGUAAAGUGUAGGAAAGUAUUUUUGUAUUUUUGGUUUAAUAGAUCUAAAAAUAAAAACAAAUAAAAAUAUAUCGUGAAGGCAAAUAUAUUAAAGAAGAGACCGGGGACCGUAGGUUUCACUAGUGGCUUCUCUCAAGAAAAAUAGCAAACGGUAGGAAAACAAAUUACUGUUGGGGAAUUUAUACAACUUCAAAUACUCAUGAUGAUAUCCAGGCAAUGAUCAUUAUAUAGGCAUCACGUUCAAUAUUAGUGGACCGACUCCAGCCUGCAUCUACUACUAUUACUCCACACAUCGACUGCUAUCCAGCAUGCAUCUAGUCUAUUAAGUUCAUGGAGAAACGGAGUAAUGCAAUAAGAACAAUGACAUGAUGUAGACAAGAUCCAUUUAUGUUGAAAUAGACCUCGUCUUGUUAUCCUUAAUAGCAACGAUACAUACGUGCCGGUUCCCCUUCUGUCACUGAGAUCAAGCACCGUAAGAUCGACCCAUUACAAAUCACCUCUUCCUGUUGCAAGAUAAAUAAAUCAAGAUGGCCAGACAAAACCCAGAUAUCGGAGAAGAAAUAUGAGCCUAUAAGCAAUCAUGCAUAUAAGAGAUCAAAAUACUUAAAUAACUUUCAUGGAUAAAAACAUAGAUCUGAUCAUAAACUCAAAGUUCAUCGGACCCCAACAAACACACCGCCAAAAGAGUUACACCAUAUGGAUCUCCAAGAGACCAUUGUAUUGAGAAUCAAACGAGAGAGCGAAAGCCAUCUAGCUACUAACUACGGACCCGUAGGUCUACAACGAACUACUCAGCAUCAUCGGAGAGGCACCAAUGAGGAUGAUGAACUCCUCCGUGAUGGUGUCUAGAUUGGAUGUGGUGUUUCUGGAACUUCCGGUGGCUGGAAUUGAUUUUCGUCGACUCCCCUAGGGUUUCUAGAAUAUUGGGUUAUUUAUAAAGCAAAGAGGCGGUGCGGGAGGCCACCGAGGUGGGCACAACCCACCUGCGCACGCCUAGGCCCCCAGGCGCGCCCUGGUGGGUUGUGCUCCCCUCGGAGCACCCCUUUGGUACUUCUUUGGCCCAACAUUUGUCUUCUGGUCCAGAAAAAUUCCACAAAAAGUUUUGCUGCGUUUGGACUCCGUUUGGUAUUGAUUUUCUGCGAUGUAAAAAACAAGCAGAAAACAACAACUCACAAUUGGCACUAUGUCAAUAGGUUAGUACCAAAAAAUGAUAUAAAAUGAUUAUAAAAUGAUUGUAAAACAUCCAGGAAUGAUAAUAUAACAGCAUGUAACAAUUAAAAAUUAUAGAUACAUUGGAGCCGUAUCAAUUCUCCCGACGACAGACUCGACCUCUACGACGCCCGGGGAGCCAUCCCUGACAAACCACGACCCUCGCCGCCAUCGCCGUCGUAUUAUUCGGUAACGACCAGCCACCCACCUCUCUCUCUCUCUCUCUCUCAACGACGACGUCCUCCACCUUUAGAUCUUGAUCGGACGACCAACGAAGAUCCGUUUUAUUUUAUUAAACGCCGAAACAUUUUUUUUCCUUCUCUUAGAUGUCCGUCAUCCGCCCGUAGUUCAAAAACACGCACCCCUUCGGCCAAUCACGUUGCACCACGUAGAAUUGGCCAAUCCGAAGCCUUUUUCAUUAUUUUAGUUUCUAUUUUUAUUUUCGGAUUAGUUUCAAAUUUGAUUUGCUUAUAUCUUAUAGUGUUUCUAAAGUUUUUUUGUGAUUCCAAUUGCAUUAGUUAAAUAAUUUUGUCUAGUUUCUAAAGUUCCAGUUUUGGCCAAGUUUGGAAAGUUUAAAUUUGAAUUUGGUGAAAUUUGUUCGUAACUUUUAUUUAAAAAUAGGUUUUUAAUUAUUUAUUUUUGCUCCUAUUUUCUAGUAGUUUUAUUUAACUAGUGAAUUAAUUAAAAAAUAGUAUAACUUAGAUCUGUUUAAAUUAGGAUUUAAAAAUAGAACCUUUUAUGCCAGUUUUUAGAGAUAGAAAAUUGUUUUCUUUUAAUUUAAAGUCAAUCUUUUUGUCACUUAGUUUAUUUAUAUUAAACCUUCUAUUAGUUAGUAAAAAAACUAUGUUUUAUAGAUAGAUAAAAUUGUUUUAGUCAAAUUCUUAGUUCAAACUUGCUUAGUAAAUAACUUAGGUUUUAUUUUAACUUAUUAAGUGUUUCUUUUUGCUAGUUAGAACCCUAGUUAAAUUAUUUGUUUCCGCUUAGUUGUUUUUCUAUUUUCUUUUCUGUUAAGUUAUUAGUUAAUUUUUUCCUUAUUUAAGUUCUAAUUAGGACAAAAACUAUUUUGUUGCAUGUAGUUAAGUCAUAGAGUUUUCUUUAGUAGUUUCUUUAUAGUUUUGUUUUGAAGUUUUCCUUUGAUUCUUAUUUGGUUUUUUCUUAUUAUUUUCUUUAUUGCUUUCAUUUGUUUGAGUGUUACUUUACUUGCUAGAUGUUAUUGCUUAUAUGAAUGCAAUGUUUGAAUUAAUAUAGAUUUCAUCGGAGAGUGACGAAUAGUCCUAUCAAGUAAUUUCUGAGAGCAAUAUAGUCUACAUCAACUAUACCAGGCAAGUUCACUUUGACCAUAUGUUUAUACCUAUGUUUUAUUGCAUUUAGUGUCACCAUUUAAACAAUUCCUCCGGUAAUUAUAUUGAAAUCUUGUAGUUGAGUAGAAGCAUGAGGUAGGAACCCACACGCCUGUUACUAAGCCCCGAGAUCGUUAUUUAUUUUAAUGCUACACUAUAGUAGACGGGGAUUGGUAUGGGUGUUCGUGGUGGUGUGAGAAGGAGGACUUUAUGUCAAUGAUGACAACUUCAAGAUGGCAACUCCAAGGCCUGCAUCUACAAGACCUCGAGACUUCAAGACUCAAGACAAGAUUUCAAUACACACUAAUGGCUGGAAUGGUCAGAGGUACGUGGGGAUAUAUCAAGGGGAUUACCUAAUGUGAGAUGGGGACCUGGGGUAGGCCAGUACUCAUGCAGAAAGUACCACCCAGACUCAAAGAGAUGGAAGAACACUUCAUGCCUGGAACCUUACCUGUGCAGCCACAAGUCAUUAUGGGAUCUGGCUUGGUUUAUCAUCAUAGUUACUCUGACUUGUCCAGUGUUACGAGAGGUCGAUUUAUGGUAGGGUUGGAUGGGCACUAGCGAUUGUUAGGGAAACACUUUGAAAGACCAUGUUUCAGUCAUCAUGUUCUCAAGCACCCUGUAGUGCAAGAAAGUAAAGGGAGGGAUUGAAUCCUAUGGGUAAAGUGCACAAAACUCUGCAGCGUAAAACCUAAUCGAUUAGUCAUGUCCCUGGUUACAGACAAUUUGAGCCUCUGGACCUAGAUUUAUCUCGGAACUCUCAACACUGAACUCAUAAUUAAUUGUGGGCAACUUAUAAUUAUGGGUUAUGAGACAUCGGUUGGUGGAACCAUGUCAUAUUAGAUAACUCUGUAGUUAUCUUUUGUUAUAGGAAAAUUUGUUGAUGCUUGACAAUCUUUUGUUAUAGGAAAAAAUCUAGCUUUUCUACAAAAACUCACACAUGGAGCCAAAAAGCCAUAUUGCAUAUAGACUAGUCUUUUUCAUCUUCCCUCUAUUAAGAUCUUGCCGGUACAUUCUAUGUACUGACCUACAGGGCUGCAACUUUUCAGGUUGCAGAUAUUUCUACGUCGAUUAAGAGUUACGAUAUAGGGUUAUGGUCUCCACUCAGCUUGUCGUUGGCGUUGAUGGGACUCCACACCCAUAUUGAUUUGUUUCCGUUGUGAUACAUAUAAAAUAUACUCUGGAUAUACGAUAUUUAUUUUAUAUGUGAUGUUAUGGUAUUUCAUCAAAGUACUGUGUGUGUCAGCAUACUGAUCCAUGCAUAGAAAGCACAGAGACUUGGCCGUGUUGGGUUGGGUCGCUACAGGUAAUCAUAAGUGGGUUGCUUGUUCAAGUAAGAACAGCACCCAAGCACCAGUCCACACACAUAUCAAAUUAGCGAGCGUGAAUCAACUAAACAUGAUGAACGUGACUAGAAGGCAAUUCCCAUGUGUCCUCGAGAGUGAUCAUAUCCAACUUCCGGACCAGAAUCCGGCCACAUUUGAGGAGUUUAUUCAAACACAUCAAUAAAUUUCACAUCGGCCAACUCACGAGCAGCUCAAGGAGGAUGUGAUUGAGCAUCAGUGGACGGUGAAAUGGGACAACAAUGUUGGGAUGUAAAAUAUUUGAACUUUUCUAAAUUUUAACUAGUGACGCAUGCGGCUAUAUGAACUUAUGUGCCCUUUGCAUGCGACUGCUUGAUUGUGUGGACCCGAAAAAAACCCGAAAGGCAGGAUGUAUGCGGCUUCUGUUGGAUGACUGUCUCUCGCUUUUGUGUCCGCAGACUGGUUCCCCCUAUCCCCGGACGGAUGCGGGAGGUUUUUUGCGGGUUGGCAUUGGAGAUGCCCUUAAGGGACACAACAAUGUUAGAUUAUAAUAUUUUAGACCAUAUUAUAGUCCAUAUUUGAGGUUAUUUAAACAUGGGGACUUAUAAAAAAAGUGAGGUCGAAUGUAUGCGAGUAGCAUUGGAUGGCUGGCUCUUGCGGAUAAAAAUGCCCUAGUUACCCCUUCCUAUCAUGCAACAUUAGUACUCCCUCCGUUUCAAAAUAUAGUGCGCCCUCGUUUCCUGAGGUUCAACUUUGAUCAUAAAUUUAACCAACGAGACCGACUGCGGUGGGAUCAAAAAUUAUAUGAUUGAAAACUUCUUUUGAAUACGAAUUUAUUAGUACCUUUUGCUUCUCGAUUAAAUUUAUGAUCAAAAUUGAAGCACGACAACCAAUUUGAAACGGAGGGGGGAAGUAGUGUUUAUCUUUUCCCAAAAUCAUCUGGGCACUGCACAAUGGACUGUGGACUUUGGAGUGGAAGCAAAGCAAGCCACCUAGUACGUCACCUAGUACGCUGACAAACCCCCAGUUAAACAAAGAAUCAACGAUUUCAUGACAGGGGUGAGGUGACAGUGUACUCCACGAACAGGCCGGAAAGCUCCUCAGCCACGAAUGAUUGAUUCCACGAGGGAUAAAAUACCCCAAUAAUUACACGGUGCCGCCCCUCGUUUCCUCCGUUCCUCCAACUUGGCAGGCUAUCGUGUCUCAUGUCUCUUCGUUUGACUGAGCCCAGGACCCCAGGUCAUGAGUGUCACGGGCACGACCUCAGUGGCGCAUGCAACGGCGACCUCCGCUGCACUCGGCGCGGCGCUGCAGACACAGACACACACACACACUGCCUGCCGCUACUGACCGGCAGGAAAACGUCGAGGAAACGGGCGGAGUUUACCGUGUCGACCGUCAGAUGCUGUCAAAAAUCUCCGUGACAAGUGCAACUCGAUCGAGUACCUACCUGCCGUCCUGGCCUGGAUCUGCUUUUACACAGCUUUCAAUUCGGGCCCUCUCUGCCCGAGCACGUGUCUUUUAACUGUAGGCUGUCUUUUUAUUAUGUGUAGCGCUCGAGAUACAUCAAAAUGAAUAAAAGGGAAUGGAUCUAGACAUAUUUUAGUUCUAGAUACAUCUAUUUUUAUCUAUUUUGAUGACAAGUAUUUUCGGACGGAGGGAGUAUCAGAAUGAUCGAUCUCUUUCGUUUCCACAGCGGCCGGGAUCGACGGAAGAUUCAACGGAACAGGGAUGGAGUACCCGAGACCACGCAACGUGCGCUCUGCCGCCGCUCAAUGUAUGCCUACGUACCGUCGGGUGGCCAGAGGGGAGUGUUGACAAGUAGCCCGACGCCGACGGCCAAUGAUCGCAGAGCACUUGUAGUGACGUCGUACCUGAACCGAAACUUGAGUAUCCACCAGGACAUGCAAAGCUGUUAUUCAUUCGAUCGAACCGGACGGGUGGACGCCCAGCCUAGACGGGAACCAGGUUGGCAUGCUCGGUGGACUGAGUUGACAAGUCGUCAAUCGCGGCUAUAUAUUGCAACCACUCGAAGCGACCUCCAUAACCCAAGUCUUUGCCAGUAUACGUCAUCGGGGUUUUCAAGCUCAACCAAAGCUUCUGUGAUAAGUAUGAAAAAUUAAUCAGAGACUUCUGGUGGGGAGACAAGGAUGAACAUAGAAAAGUUCAUUGAAUGUCAUGGGAGAAUAUGACAAAACCUAAGAGGGAUGGAGGCAUAGGUUUUCGAGAUAUGCAUUAUUUCAAUCAAGCGCUGCUAGCCAGGCAGGGAUGGAGGCUGUUGCAAUUUCCGAAUAGUUUGUGUGCACGGGUUCUAAAAUCUAAAUACUACCCCAACGGUGAAUUACUAAAUAUUGUAUUCUCCUCAGAUGCUUCCCCCGCGUGACGAGGCAUUGAAUUUGGACUCGAGCUUCUGAAAAAGGGUCUCAUCUGGAGAGUGGGUAGCGGAAGGAAAAUCCAAAUUGAGAGAGACCAAUGGAUUCCACGAGACGAAGACCUAAAAACAGCGCGUUUCAUAAGCCGCUCUAGACUGAGAUGGGUCAACCAGCUAAUGCUUUCGGACACAAAGGAAUGGAACAUUGACCUCAUAAGGAGAAUUUUUCAUGCUUUUGAUGCAGACGAAAUCUGCAAAAUCCGAAUCCCCGCUGCUGAAGUAGAGGAUUGUGUGGCUUGGCACUAUGAAAAGUCCGGCGUCUUUACUGUCAGGAGCGCCUACAAACUUGCCGUCACACUAAGAAGAAAUGGAAGGGAGGCUCCCUCUAGAUCGUCGAGUGAACCCGGGAACAGAAGCAUUUGGGAUGUCAUAUGGAAAGCAAACAUUCCAGAGAAAAUAAAAAAAUGGGUGGAGAGUGGCGAUCCAAGCUUUGGCAACAAAACACAACACCUUCAGAAGGACCAUUGUGAAGGAAGAUACAUGUGAUUUAUGUGGAAUGGAAAGUGAAGAUGAGUUCCAUGCGGUUGUUUCAUGCACAAGAAGCAGGGCGUUGAGAGCUGCCAUGAGGGUUAAAUGGGACAUCCCCAAGGAAGUUGAGUUCAGACGAACGGAAGAGGAUUGGCUUCAGAACCUUCUUCUGCCACAAUCAGCUAGCAUCAGAAACAAUAACUUGAUGAUACUGUGGAAACCUGGAGCCUCAGGAACAACACCAUUCAUGGGGAUGGGAAGGAUACUGUCACGGGAGCAGUGCAUCAACUUGGGCGAAGAUUUGUUAGCGGCCGAGCAGGCUGUUAACAUGCCUGAUAGCAAGCAAGCAAUCACACUUUUUGAUUAGAGCACAACCAAGCCUGUACCCCUGAAAAAUAAUCGUUGGAUAGCACCUGCAGCUGGAUAUGUAAAAAUCAAUUGUGAUGCGGCCUUUCUUAAAGAAUCAGGGGACACUUGGGAAGGAGCAGUAGCUCGAGAUCAUCGGAGUUUUGUCCACUUAUCUGUUGGACGCCGGCUGAACCAGUGCAACUCGGUAGAAGAGGCGGAGGCAGCUGUUGUACUGAUGGGAAUGUCUGAACUGUUGAACGUUUAUGGGGGACCUAUAAUCCUGGAGGUGGAUUGCGCUGUAGUGGGACCGGAACUUGCUCUUGGAGGAUCCCUGCAAGUCGUCUAGCUAUGCAAUCAUAGCUGACAUUAAGAAGACCUUAAAUGCCUUCCAAAGGUUUGAGGUCAGGGUGAUCAACAGAGCUCAGAACGAGCUGGCUCACCAGAUUGCAGCCACAACAAGGGUAUCAGGUGACAACAAAGUGGUGGUAGGAGUGCAUGAUUCAGUGAGGCAAGAGAUGGUUGAGGAGUAUAUUACUACCAUUGCAUAGUGUACGCAUGGUUCUAAAAAAACAACUAAGCUGAUAGAGUAGUCGUGUCAGCGCCCCUGACAAGGCGAGACCGUCCACAAGGACUCAAGGUACCAGUGAUGCACGGGCCAAGCGUACAUGGGUUGCCAACGCACAAGUCAGUGGGCCGGGCUGGGUAACCGCAGCCCAACUUCUUCCACCCGCUACUUAACCGGCAUCGCUGGGAAGGGAGAACCAUCUAGAGGAUCAGGCACCCGGCGGCCGGCUACCUACUACUGUUCCCCAAUCGCAUGAACCCUAACUAUGAUACUUGCAAUCAAGUUGUAAUUGCCACCUUAAAUCAUACUUUAUGUGAGAAUUGCUGCCAAGUAAUUGAGAGGCUAGCUCAUCCCUAUCAUCUGGUAUUAGAGACAACCCACCGCCCUCUCCAUUCGCUCUAGCGAAACGCGUCAAGGCCAGAAGCCUGCGCCAAGCCCGAGCGCAGUUGGAAGCGAUGGAUCCCGGCGUCUUCGUGUUUCUCACCAAGCUGGAGGCCAACCUCGAAGCCAAGAUCGAUGCUCAAACCAAGGCCCAGCAGGUCACGUCGACCAAGAUCGACGAGCUCCUCAUGUGGCGCCCCGAUCUGGAGCGCCACGUCGCGGAUCUCAGCGAGGCGGUGACCGCGCUACAACUGGCACAACCACCAGCGCCCAAGGUGUUGGGGAACGUAGCAGAAAUUCAAAAUUUUCCUACGUGUCACCAAGAUCUAUCUAUGGAGAAACCAGCAACGAGAGGAAGGAGAGUGCAUCUACAUACCCUUGUAGAUCGCUAAGCGGAAGCGUUCAAGAGAACGGGGUUGAAGGAGUCGUACUCGUCGUGAUCCAAAUCACCGAAGAUCCUAGUGCCGAACGGACGGCACCUCCGCGGUCAACACACGUACAGCCCGGUAACGUCUCCCAUGCCUUGAUCCAGCAAGGAGAGAGGGAGAGGUUGAGGAAGACUCCAUACAGUAGCAGCACAACGGCGUGGUGGUGGUGGGGGAGCGUGGCAAUCCUGCAGGGCUUCGCCAAGCACCGCGAGAUAUGAGGAGAAAGAGAGGUAGGGCUGCGCCAACACGAGAAGAACUUCAUGUGUUGGGCUGCUCCUUUGCCUCCACUAUAUAUAAGGGGAGAGGGGGGCUGCGCCCCCACCUAGGGUUCCACCCUAGGGGCGGCGGCCAGCCCAAGAUCCCAUCUGAGGGGCGGCCAAGGGGGGAGAGGGGAAACUUGCCCCCCAAGUUAGGUGGGUGCGCCCCCCUCCCUAAACCCUAGGCGCCUUAGGCCCUUGUGGGGGGGCGCACCAGCCCACCUGGGGCUGGUCCCCUCCCACACUUGGCCCAUGCAGCCCUCCGGGGAUGGUGGCCUCACUUGGUGGACCCCCGGGACCCUCCCGGUGGUCCCGGUACGUUACCGAUAAAACUCGAAACCUUUUCGGUGACCAAAACAGGACUUCCCAUAUAUAAAUCUUUACCUCCGGACCAUUCCGGAACUCCUUGUGAUGUCCGGGAUCUCAUCCGGGACUCCGAACAACAUUUGGUAACCACAUACAAACUUUCUUUAUAACCCUAGCGUCAUCGAACCUUAAGUGUGUAGACCCUACGGGUUCGGGAACCAUGCAGACAUGACCGAGACGUUCUCCGGUCAAUAACCAACAGCGGGAUCUGGAUACCCAUGUUGGCUCCCACAUGUUCCACGAUGAUCUCAUCGGAUGAACCACGAUGUCAAGGACUCAAUCAAUCCCAUAUACAAUUCCCUUUGUCUAGCGGUAUUGUACUUGCCCGAGAUUCGAUCGUCGGUAUACCGAUACCUUGUUCAAUCUCGUUACCGGCAAGUCUCUUUACUCGUUCCGUAACACAUCAUCCCGCGAUCAACUCUUUGAUCACAUUGUGCACAUUAUGAUGAUGUCCUACCGAGUGGGCCCAGAGAUACCUCUUCGUUUACACGGAGUGACAAAUACCAGUCUCGAUUCGUGCCAACCCAACAGACACUUUCGGAGAUACAUGUAGUGCACCUUUAUAGCCACCCAAUUAUGUUGUGACGUUUGGUACACCCAAAGCAUUCCUACGGUAUCCAGGAGUUGCACAAUCUCAUGGUCUAAGGAAAUGAUACUUGACAUUAGAAAAGCUUUAGCAUACGAACUACGAUCUUUGUGCUAGGCUUAGGAUUGGGUCUUGUUCAUCACAUCAUUCUUCUAAUGAUGUGAUCCCGUUAUCAACGACAUCCAAUGUCCAUGGUCAGGAAACCGUAUCCAUCUGUUGAUCAACGAGCUACUUAACUAGAGGCUUACUAGGGACAUGGUGUUGUCUAUGUACCCACACAUGUAUCUGAGUUUCCUAUCAAUACAAUUAUAGCAUGGAUAAUAAACGAUUAUCAUGAACAAGGAAAUAUAAUAAUAACUAAUUUAUUAUUGCCUCUAGGGCAUAUUUCCGACAGUCUCCCACUUGCACUAGAGUCAAUAAUCUAGUUCACAUCGCCAUGUGAUUAACACUCACAGGUCACAUCACCAUGUGACCAACAUCCAAAGAGUUUACUAGUUCACAUCAUCAUGUGAUAAGACUCAAUGAGUUCUGGGGUUUGAUCAUGUUUUGCUUGUGAGAGAGGUUUUAGUCAACGGGUCUGCAACAUUCAGAUACGUAUAUACUUCGCAAAUCUCUAGGUCAUAUUGUAAAUACUACUUCCACGCUCCACUUGGAGCUAUUCCAAAUGGUUGCUCCACUAUACGUAUCCGGUUUGCUACUCAAAGUCACUCGGAUAGGUGUUAAAGCUUGCAUCGACGUAACCCUUUACGCCGAACUCUUUAUCACCUCCAUAAUCGAGAAACAUGUCCUUAUUUACUCCAAGGACAAUUUUGACCGCUGUCCAGUGAUCCAUUCCUGGAUCAUUCUUGUACCCCUUGACUGACUCAUGGCAAGGCACACUUCCGGUGCAGUACACAACAUAGCAUAUUAUAGAGCCUACGUCUGAAGCAUAGGGGACGACAUUCGUCCUUUCUCUCUCUUCUGCCAUGGUCGAGCUUUAACUCUUAACUUCAUACCUUACAACUCAGGCAAGAACUCCUUCUUUGACUGAUCCAUCUUGAAUCUUCAAGAUCAUGUCAAGGUAUGUGCUCAUUUGAAAGUACCAUUUAGCGUUUUUGAUCUAUCCUCAUAGAUCUUGAUGCUCAAUGUUCAAGUAGCUUAAUCCAGGUUUUCCAUUGAAAAACAAUUUCCAAAUAACCCUAUAUGCUUUCCAGAAAUUCUACAUCAUUUCUGAUCAACAAUAUGUCAACAACAUAUACUUAUCAGAAAUUCUAUAGUGCUCCCACUCACUUCUUUGGAAAUACAAGUUUCUCAUAAACUUUGUAUAAACCCAAAAUCUUUGAUCAUCUCAUCAAAGCAUACAUUCCAACUCUGAGAUGCUUACUCCAGUCCUUAGAAGGAUCGCUAGAGCUAGCAUACCUUUUAGCAUCCUUAGGAUCGACAAAACCUUUCUGAUUGUAUCGCAUACAACCUCUCCUUACGAAAACUGGUAAGGAAACUCGUUUUGACAUCCAUCUGCCAGAUUUCAUAAAUGCAGCUUGUUCUAACAUGAUUCCGACGGACUUUAAGCAUCCCUACGGAUGAGAAAAUCUCAUCGUAGUCAACUCCUUGAACUUGUGAAAAACUCUUUGCCACAAGUCGAGCUUCAUAGAUGGUAACAUUACCAUCCACGUCCGUCUUUUUCUUAAAGAUCCAUUUAUCUCAAUGGCUAGUCGAUCAUUGGGCAAGUCCACCAAAGUCCAUGCUUUGUUCUGAUACAUGGAUCCUAUCUCGGAUUUCAUGGCUUCUAACCAUUUGUAGGAAUUUGGGCCCACCAUCGCUUCUCCAUAGCUUGUAGGUUCAUUGUUGUCUAGCAACAGGACCUUCAAGACAGGAUUACUGUACCAUUCUGAAGUAGUACGCAUCCUAGUGACUUGAUCCAAAGUUUCAUGAUCACUAUCAUAAGCUUCUACUUCAAUUGGUGUAGGUGCCACAGGAACAACUUCCUGUGCCCUGCUACACACUAGUUGUAGUGAUGGUUCAAUAACCAUAUCAAGUCUCCACCAUUCUCCCACUCAACUUUUCGAGACAAACUUUUCCUCGAGAAAGGACCCGGUUCAAGAAACAAUCCCUAUUACUUUCGGAUCUGAAUUAGGAGGUAUACCCAACUGUUUUGGGUGUCCUAUGAAGAUGCAUUUUAUCCGCUUUGGGUUCGAGCUUAUCAACCUGAAACCUUUUCACAUAAGCGUCGCAGCCCCAAACCUUUAAGAAACGACAACUUAGGUUUCUCCAAACCACAGUUCAAAUGGUGUCGUCUCAACGGAAUUACGUGGUGCCCUAUUAAAGUGAGUGCGGUUGUCUCUAAUGCCUAACCCAUGAACGAUAGUGUUAAUUCGAUAAGAGACAUCGUGGUACGCACCAUAUCCAAUAGGGUGCAACUAUGAUGUUCGGACACACCAUCACACUAUGGUGUUCCAGGCGGUAUUAAUUGUGAAACAAUUUCCACAAUGUCUUAAUUGCGUGCCAAAGCUUGUAACUCAGAUACUCAUCUCUAUGAUCAUAUCAUAGACAUUUUAUCCUCUUGUCACAAUGAUCUUCAACUUCACUCUGAAAUUACUUGAACCAUUCAAUAAUUCAGACUUGUGUUUCAUCAAGUAAAUAUACUCAACAUCUACUCGAAUCAUUUGUGAAGUGAGAACAUAACGAUAUUCACUGCAUGCCUCAGCACUCAUUGGACUGCACACAUCAAAAUGUGUUACUUCCAACAAGUUGCUAUCUUGUUCCAUCUUACUGAAAACGAGGCUUUUCAGUCAUCUUGCACAUGUGGUAUGAUUUGCAUAUCUCAAGUGAUUCAAAAUCAAGUGAGUCCAAACGAUCCAUCUGCAUGGAGUUUCUUCAUGCGUAUACACCAAUAGACAUGGUUCGCAUGUCUCAAACUUUUCAAAAACGAGUGAGUCCAAAGAUCCAUCAACAUGGAGCUUCUUCAUGUGUUUUAUACCAAUAUGACUUACAUGGCAGUGCCACAAGUAAGUGGUACUAUCAUUACUAUCUUAUAUCUUUUGGCAUGAAAAUGUGUAUCACUACUAUCGAGAUUCAAUAAACCAUUCCUUUAGGUGCAAGACCAUUGAAGGUAUUAUUCAAAUGGAGUAACCAUUAUUCUCCUUAAAUGAAUAACCGUAUUGCGAUAGACAUAAUCCAAUCAUGUCUAUGCUUCAACGCAAACACCAAACUCGAUGGUAGAGGGAGCGUGCGAUGCUUGAUCACAUCAAGAUUUGAAAACACUUCCAACACAUAUCGUCAGCUCACCUUUAGCUAGUCUCCGUUUAUUUUGUAGCCUUUUAUUUUGAGUUACUAACACUUAGCAACCGAACCGGUAUCUUAAUACCCUCAUGCUACCAGGAGUACUAGUAAAGUACACAUUAACAUAAUGUAUAUCCAAUAUACUUCUAUCGACCUUGCCAGCCUUCUCAUCUACCAAGUAUCUAGGGUAAUUCUGCUCCAGUGGCUGUUUCCCUUAUUACAGAAGCACUUAGUCUCGGGUUUGGGUUCAACCUUGGGUUUCUUCACUAGAGCAGCAGCUAAUUUGCCGUUUCAUGAAGUAUCCCUUCUUGCCCUUGCCCUUCUUGAAACUAGUGGUUUCACCAACCAUCAACAAUUGAUGCUCCUUCUUGAUUUCUACUUUCGCGGUGUUAAACAUCACGAAUACCUCAAGGAUCAUCAUAUCUAUCCCUGAUAUGUUAUAGUUCAUCGCGAAGCUCUAGCAGCUUGGUGGCAAUGACUUUGGAGAAACAUCACUAUCUCUGGAAGAUCAACUCCCACUUGAUUCAAGUGAUUGUCGCACUCAGACAAUCUGAGCACAAGCUCAACGAUUGAGCUUUUCUCCCUUAGUUUGCAGGCUAAGAAAAUCGUCGGAGGUCUCAUACCUCUUGAUGUGGGCACGAUCCUGAAAUCCCAAUUUCAGCCCUCGAAACAUCUCAUAUGUUUCGUGAUGUUUCGAAAAACGUCUUUGGUGCCUCAACUCUAAACCGUUUAACUGAACUAUCACGUAGUUAUCUAAACGUGUAUGUCCGAUGUUCGCAACAUCCAUAAACGACGUUUGGGGUUCAGCACACUGAGCGGUGCAUUAAGGACAUAAGCUUUCUACUGUCCGCAUAAUCGCUACUGUCAACUUUCAACUAUAUUUUCUCUAGGAACAUAUCUAAACAGUGGAACUAAAGCGCGAGCUUACGACAUAAUUUGCAAAGAUCUUUUGACUAUGUUCAGGAUAAUUAAGUUCAUCUUAUGAACUCCCACUCAGAUAGACAUCACUCUAGUCAUCUAAGUGAUUACAUGAUCCGAGUCAAUUAGGUCGUGUCCGAUCAUCACGUGAGACGGACUAGUCAUCAUAAUUGAACAUCUUCAUGUUGAUCGUAUCUACUAUACGACUCAUGCUCGACCUUUCGGUCUCUUGUGUUCCGAGGCCAUGUCUGUACAUGCUAGGCUCGUCAAGUCAACCUAAAUGUUUCGUGUGUGUAAAUCUGGCUUACACCCAUUGUAUGUGAACAUAAGAAUCUAUCACACCCGAUCAUCACGUGGUGCUUCGAAACGAUGAACUUUCGCAGCGGUGCACAGUUAGGGGGAACACUUUCUUGAAAUUUUAAUGAGGGAUCAUCUUAUUUACUACCGUCGUUCUAAGCAAAUAAGAUGCAUAAACAUGAUAAACAUCACAUGCAAUCAAAUAGUGACAUGAUAUGGCCAAUAUCAUAUUGCUCCUUUUGAUCUCCAUCUUCGGGGCUCCAUGAUCAUCAUCGUCACCAGCGUGACACCAUGAUCUCCAUCAUCAUGAUCUCCAUCAUCGUGUCUCCAAGAAGUUGUCUCGCCAACUUAUCACUUCUACUACUAUGGCUACCGGUUAGCAAUAAAGUAAAGUAAUUACAUGGCGCUGUUCAAUGACAGGCAGGUCAUACAAUAAAUAAAGACAACUCCUAUGGCUCCUGCCGGUUGUCAUACUCAUCGACAUGCAAGUCGUGAUUCCUAUUACAAGAACAUGAUCAAUCUCAUACAUCACAUAUCAUUCAUCACAUUCUUCUUGGCCAUAUCACAUCACAUAGCAUACCCUGCAAAAACAAGUUAGACGUCCUCUAAUUGUUGUUUGCAUGUUUUACGCGGCUGCUAUGGGUUUCUAGCAAGAACGUUUCUUACCUACGCAAAAACCACAACAUGAUAUGUCAAUUGCUAUUUACCCUUCAUAAGGACCCUUUUCAUCGAAUCCGUUCCGACUAAAGUGGGAGAGACUGGCACCCGCUAGCCACCUUAUGCACCAACUGCAUGUCAGUCGGUGGAACCUGUCUCACGUAAGAGUACGUGUAAGGUCGGUCCGGGCCGCUUCCUCCCACAAUAUCGUCGAAACAAGAUUGGACUAGUAACGGUAAGCAUAUUGAACAAAAUCAACGCCCACAACUACUUUGUGUUCUACUCGUGCAAAGAAUCUACGCAAUAGACCUAGCUCAUGAUGCCACUGUUGGGGAACGUAGCAGAAAUUCAAAAUUUUCCUACGUGUCACCAAGAUCUAUCUAUGGAGAAACCAACAACGAGAGGAAGGAGAGUGCAUCUACAUACCCUUGUAGAUCGCUAAGCGGAAGCGCUCAAGAGAACGGGGUUGAAGGAUUCGUACUCGUCGUGAUCCAAAUCACCGGAGAUCCUAGAGCCGAACGGACGGCACCUCCGCGUUCAACACACGUACAAACCCGGUGACGUCUCCCAUGCCUUAAUCCAGCAAGGAGAGAGGGAGAGGUUGAGGAAGACUCCAUCCAGCAGCAGCACAACGGUGUGGUGGUGGUGGAGGAGCGUGGCAAUCCUGCAGGGCUUCGCCAAGCACCGCGAGAUAUGAGGAGAAAGAGAGGUAGGGCUGCGCCAACAUGAGAAGAACUUCGUGUGUUGGGCUGCUCCUUUGCCUCCACUAUAUAUAGAGGGGAGGGGGGGCUGCGCCCCCACCUAGGGUUCCACCCUAGGGGCGGCGGCCAGCCCAAGAUCCCAUCUGAGGGGCGGCCAAGGGGGGGGAGAGGGGAAACUUGCCCCCCAAGUUAGGUGGGUGCGCCCCCCUCCCUAAACCCUAGGCGCCUUAGGCCCUUGUGGGGGGGCGCACCAGCCCACCUGGGGCUGGUCCCCUCCCACACUUGGCCCAUGCAGCCCUCCGGGGAUGGUGGCCUCACUUGGUGGACCCCCGGGACCCUCCCGGUGGUCCCGGUACGUUACCGAUAAAACCCGAAACCUUUUCGGUGACCAAAACAGGACUUCCCAUAUAUAAAUCUUUACCUCCGGACCAUUCCGGAACUCCUCGUCAAAUCCGGGAUCUCAUCAGGGACUCCGAACAACAUUCGGUAACCACAUACAAACUUCCUUUAUAACCCUAGCGUCAUCGAACCUUAAGUGUGUAGACCCUACGGGUUCGGGAACCAUGCAGACAUGACCGAGACGUUCUCCGGUCAAUAACCAACAGCGGGAUCUGGAUACCCAUGUUGGCUCCCACAUGUUCCAUGAUGAUCUCAUCGGAUGAACCACGGUGUCAAGGACUCAAUCAAUCCCGUAUACAAUUCCCUUUGUCUAGCGGUAUUGUACUUGCCCGAGAUUCGAUCGCUGGUAUGCCGAUACCUUGUUCAAUCUCGUUACCGGCAAGUCUCUUUACUCGUUCCGUAACACAUCAUCCCGUGAUCAACUCUUUGAUCACAUUGUGCACAUUAUGAUGAUGUCCUACCGAGUGGGCCCAGAGAUACCUCUCCGUUUACACGGAGUGACAAAUCCCAGUCUCGAUUCGUGCCAACCCAACAAACACUUUCGGAGAUACCUGUAGUGCACCUUUAUAGCCACCAAGUUACGUUGUGACGUUUGGUACACCCAAAGCAUUCCUACGGUAUCCGGGAGUUGCACAAUCUCAUGGUCUAAGGAAAUGAUACUUGACAUUAGAAAAUCUUUAGCAUACGAACUACGAUCUUUGUACUAGGCUUAGGAUUGGGUCUUGUCCAUCACAUCAUUCUUCUAAUGAUGUGAUCCCAUUAUCAACGACAUCCAAUGUCCAUGGUCAGGAAACCGUAACCAUCUGUUGAUCAACGAGCUAGUUAACUAGAGGCUUACUAGGGACAUGGUGUUGUCUAUGUACCCACACAUGUAUCUGAGUUUCCUAUCAAUACAAUUAUAGCAUGGAUAAUUAACGAUUAUCAUGAACAAGGAAAUAUAAUAAUAACUAAUUUAUUAUUGCCUCUAGGGCAUAUUUCCAACACAAGGAUGGUAAUGCGGACCUGGCGGCUCGCGAUCCGCCCCAACCUCCGCCUGCGACACACAUCGUCCCCGUCGGACCCGUGACUGGCACGGCAACCCAUCAUCUAGGGCCCCACGGUAUCUUCAACCUACCACGGGGGCCGUCGACGGUGUCAUUCUAGACACCACCGUCGCUCCCGGCCAGCGGUCAGUCCAAUUACCUUCUGUCACCUUCAGUCUUAUCCCCUUUUGCUCACGCACGUCAGAUGUUGGCUGGUCUGGGCCGAGCCCACCCUUCUAUCGCGUUUCCGCAGUUCACAUGAGAGAACCCGAACUUGUGGAAAACCUUGUGUGAGCAAUAUUCCUCCAUGUUUGGAAUCCAUGCUACUUUCUGGGUUCCCAUGGCCGCACUCAAUUUCACUGGCACCGCUUCCGUUUGGUUACAAACGAUCUAAAAAUGGUUGGCUGAGUUUGAUUGGGACUCGUUUACUUCCCUAAUAUGCACAUGUUUUGGCCGCGAUCGGCAUCAGAUGCUGACUCGACAGUUUUACACUGUGAGGCAAGCAUCAUCUGUUGCAGACUACAUCGAGAAAUUUGAGUUAAUCAUUAAUCAUUUGAGUUCUACUCUGAAUCGAUUCAUCCUUACUAUUUUCUCACUCAAUUUGUGGAGGGACUGAGGAUGGAUAUCCGAGCAGUGGUACUCGUCCAGCGGCCACCGACUUUGAUACGGCGUGCGUCCUCGCCUUGCUGCAGGAGGAGGUGGCGAAUGGCACAUUCGGGUCUCUUCCUCGACCACCGACCCGAUCUAGCAUACGGCUACUACACUACUGCUGCCACCACCUCCGACCCGGCCAGCGCCUUCCUCGGGCGCUACCGAUCAUGAAGACACUACGGGAAUAUCGUCGCGCCCAUGGCCUCUGUUUCAAGUGCAGCGAGCGAUGGGGGCACGACCACGUGUGCCCCACCUCUGUCCAACUCCAUGUCAUCGAGAAGCUCCUCGACCUCUUCGGCAUCGAUAACACCAUCGACAUGCAUCUGCCUCCACCGGAUGACACGGUGAUGGCCAUCUCCAAGUCCGACGUCUUAGGCGGGGUCUCCGCCAAGGCUUUUUAGCUAUGAGAUUGGAUACAAGGUCGGGAGGUGCUCAUGUUAGUCGAGUCCGGCAGCAUAAACUCUUUCAUCGACUCUGCGUUGGCAAAUCAAUUGGCGUGCGUCCAACCACUUCCGUGCGCUUAUCGCAUGCGGGUCACUGACGAUGGGGAGAUGCUCUGCUCCACGGUCGUCCCAAACUGUGUGUGGUGCUUGCAAGGACACGAGUAUGACGCCAUAGUGGGAAUGGACUGGCUAGAAGCCAACAGUCCGAUGACAGUGGACUCGCGCGCCAGGCACCUGGAAUUCUAGUCGCCAGCAGGAACCAUCAGUCUUCAAGGGCAUGAAGGCACAUCCACGACCUGCUUCCUCAUCAACAGCGUGCAACUCAAGGGAUUGUGCAAGAACAACGCCAUUACACAUGUGGUGCAUCUCUAUGUUACUACCAGCAACGAAGCUAAGUCCACACUCCACACCAACUCCUCCCUGUUUGCAACAGAUUCUGGAUGACUUUGCUGAUGUGUUUGGCACACCAAAAGGGCUUUCACCAAAAAGGUCAUGUGAUCACCACAUUCCUCUGUUACCCGGCACGUCACCAUUUAGUAUCAGGCCUUACAGACACAAACCAGAGCAUAAGGAUGAAAUCGAGCGGCAAGUGGCUGAGCUACUCAAAGCGAGGCUGAUUCAUGUCAGCAAAAUCCCUUUCUCUUGCCCGGUCAUUCUGGUCAAGAAGAAGGACGGUCCAUGGCGCCUCUGCAUUGAUUAUCGACACCUCAACACACUCACGUGCAUCUCCAAGUUUUUGAUCCCAGUCAUAGAGGAAUUGUUGGAUGAGCUACAGGGCGCACAGUGGUUCUCAAGACUCGACCUGCGCGCGGGAUACCACAAGAUCAGGAUUGCAGAGGGUGAUGAGUACAAGAGACGGCUUUUCAAACCCAUUUCGGGUAGUUCGAGUAUAAGGUAGUAUUCUUUGGGCUAGCAGGAGCACCGGGCACUUUCAACUGCGCAGUGCAUACCACUCUCAAACCUGUUAAUAGGAAGUGUUCGAUACUCUUCUUUGAUGACAUCAUGGUGUUCAGUGAAACCUUGGAGCAGCACCGAGAGGAUCUCAGGGAGGUGUAGGCGCUGCUGUGCAAAGAUCAGUGGAAAGUCAAGGCAUUUAAGUGCGUGUUCGGUCAGCAACAAAUUUCUUACCUGGGGCAUGUCAUCAGUCCACAAGGGGUUGAUACGUCCAUUUUGCAUCAUGUUUACCUACUGUUAUUUAUAUUGUUUAUAUGCUUAAUAAUGCUUUUUGGAGUAAUUCUUAUGUCUUUUCUCUCAUAAUAUGCAAGGUUCACACAAAGAGGGAGAAUUUCGGCAGUUGGAAAUCUGAACCUGAAAAAGCUAUGUCAGGCCACCUAUUCUGCACAACUCCAAAUGAGCUGGAACUUCAUGAGGAAUUUUUAUGAAAUAAAUAAGAAAUAAUGAAGCAAAUAACUACCGGAGGGGGCCCACCUGGUGAGCACAAGACAUGAGGGCGCGCUAGGGCCCCCAGGCGCGCCCUGGUGGGUUGUGCUCAGCCCAGCCCACCUCCAAUGCCCCUCUUCUGGUAUCGAAGUCAUUUUGACCUAGAAAAAUAAGGGGAGGACUUUCGGGAUGAAGCGCCACCGUCUCGAGGCGGAACAUGGACAGGAGCACUUUUGCCCUCCGGCGGAGCGAUUCCGUCAGGGGAACUUCCCUCCCGAAGGGGGAAACCAUUGUCAUCAUCAUCACCAACAACUCUCCCAUCUUGGGGAAGGCAAUCUCCAUCAACAUCUUCAACAACACCAUCCCCUCUCAAACCCUAGUUCAUCUCUUGUGUUCAGCCUUUGUACCGGAACUAUAGAUUGGUGCUUGUGGGUGACUAGUAGUGUUGAUUGCAUCUUCUAGUUGAUUACUAUAUGGUUUACUUGGUGGAAGAUUAUAUGUUCACAUCCAUUAUCCUAUUUAAUACCCCUGUGAUCCUGAGCAUGAUUACCAUUUGUGAGUAGUUAUUUUUGUUCAUGAGGUCACGGGAGAAAUCUUGUUUUAAGUAAUCAUGUGAAUUUUAUAUGUGUUUGAUAUUUUGAUAGUAUGUAUGUUGUGUUUCCCUUAGUGGUGUCAUGUGAAUGUCGACUACAUGACACUUCACCAUACUUGGUCCUAAGGGAAUGCAUUGUGGAGUAUUUAUUAGAUGAUGGGUUGCGAGAGUGAUAGAAGCUUAAACCCUAGUGUAUGCGCUAUUCCGUAAGGGACUGAGUAGGACCCAAAAGUUUAAUGCUAGUUAGAAUUUAUUCUUAAUAUUUUUCUCGUAGUUGCGGAUGUUUACGAGGGGGUUAAUCAUAAGUAGGAGGUUUGUUCAAAUAAGAACAACACCUAAGCACCGAUCCACCCACAUAUCAAAUUAUCAAAGUAGUGAACACAAAUCAAACCAACAUGAUGAAAGUGACUAGAUGAAAUUCCCGUGUGCCCUCAAGAACACUUUGCUUAUCAUAAGAGACUGUUUUGGCCUGUUCUUUGCCUCAAGAGGAUUGGGCUACCUUGCUGCACUUUUGUUACCGUUACCGUUAUUUUCUUCUUACAAAUUACCUUGCUAUCAAACUACUCGAUACUUAUAAUUUCAGUGCUUGCAUACGUUACUUUGCUGAGACCGCUUGUCAUUUCCUUGUGCUCCUCGUUGGGUUUGGCACUCUUACUUAUCGAAAGGACUACAAUUGAUCCCCUAUACUUGUGCAGAGGUAGCUACAGAGCCAAGUAAGAUACGAGCUGUCGCUAAUUGGCAAUCCCCCAAGGAUGUCAAAGGGGUCCGGAGUUUUUGGGACUUGUAGGCUACUAUCGACGAUUUGUGCGUCACUUCGGCAUGAUCGCGCGACCUCUGUUCAACCUGCUGAAAAAAGGUGCUCCCUUCGUAUGGUCUUCGAUCAGUGAAACCGCGUUUCAAACACUGAACCAACACCUGAUCACUGUCCCCGAUCCUUGCACUACCAGACUUUCAAAACAGUUUGUGAUCGAGAAAGACACCAGCGACAAAGGGGAUGGCGUAACGACAACGAUGCUACGAUGGAGAUCAAGGUGUCGCGCCGGUGACGAUGGUGAUCACGACGGUGCUUCGGAGAUGGAGAUCACAAGCACAAGAUGAUGAUGGCCAUAUCAUAUCACUUAUAUUGAUUGCAUGUGAUGUUUAUCCUUUAUGCAUCUUAUCUUGCUUUGAUUGACGGUAGCAUUUUAAGAUGAUCUCUCACUAAAAUUAUCAAGAAGUGUUCUCCCUGAGUAUGCACCGUUGCCAAAGUUCGUCGUGCCCAGACACCACGUGAUGAUCGGGUGUGAUAAGCUCUACGUCCAUCUACAACGGGUGCAAGACAGUUUUGCACACGCAGAAUACUCAGGUUAAACUUGACGAGCCUAGCAUAUGCAGAUAUGGCCUCGGAACACGGAGACCGAAAGGUCGAACGUGAAUCAUAUAGUAGAUAUGAUCAACAUAGUGAUGUUCACCAUUGAAAACUACUCCAUCUCACGUGAUGAUCGGUUAUGGUUUAGUUGAUUUGGAUCACGUGAUCACUUAGAUGACUCGAGAGAUGUCUGUCUAAGUGGGAGUUCUUAAGUAAUAUGAUUAAUUGAACUUAAAUUUAUCAUGAACUUAGUCCUGGUAGUAUUUUGCAAAUUAUGUUGUAAGAUCAAUAGCUUGCGUUGUUGCUUUCAUAUGUUUAUUUUGAUAUGUUCCUAGAGAAAAUUGUGUUGAAAGAUGUUAGUAGAAAUGAUGCGGAUUGGAUCCGUGACCUGAGGUUUAUCUUCAUUGCUGCACAGAAGAAUUAUGUCCUUAAUGCACCGCUAGGUGACAGACCUAUUGCAGGAGCAUAUGCAGACGUUAUGAACGUUUAGCUAGCUCAAUAUGAUGACUACUUGAUAGUUUAGUGCACCAUGCUUAACGGCUUAGAAUCGGGACUUCAAAAACGUUUUGAAACGUCAUGGACCAUAUGAGAUGUUCCAGGAGUUGAAGUUAAUAUUUCAAGCAAAUAUCCGAGUUGAAAGAUAUGAAGUCUCCAACAAGUUCUAUAGCUAAAAGAUGGAGGAGAAUCGCUCAACUAGUGAGCAUGUGCUCAGAUUGACUGGGUACUACAAUCGCUUGAAUCAAGUGGGAGUUAAUCUUCCAGAUAAGAUAGUGAUUGACAGAAUUCUCUAGUCACCACCACCAAGUUAGUAGAACUUCGUGAUGAACUAUAAUGCAAGGGAUGACGAAAACGAUUCCCAAGCUCUUCGUGAUGCUGAAAUUGACGAAGGUAGAAAUCAAGAAAGAGCAUCAAGUGUUGAUGAUUGACAAGACCACUAGUUUCAAGAAAAGGGCAAAGGGAAAGAAAGGGAACUUCAAGCAGAAUGGCAAGCAAGUUGUCACUCCCGCGAAGAAGCCCAAAGCUGGACCAAAGCCUGAAACUGAGUGAUUAUACUGCAAAGGAAAUGGUCACUAGAAGCGGAAAUGCCUUGAAUAUUUGGUGGAUAAGAAGGAUGGCAAAUUGAACAAGGGUAUAUUUGAUAUACAUGUUAUUGAUGUGUACCUUACUAGUGUUUAUAGUAACCCCUAAGUAUUUGAUAAUUGUUCGGUUGCUAAGAUUAGUAACUCGAAACAGGAGUUACAGAAUAAACAGAAACUAGUUGAGGGUGAAGUGACGAUGUGUGUUCGAAGUGGUUCCAAGAUUGAUAUGAUCAUCAUCGCACACUCCCUAUACUUUCGGGAUUAGUGUUGAACCUAAAUAAAUGUUAUUUGGUGUUUGCGUUGAGCAUGAAUAUGAUUUGAUCAUGUUUAUUGCAAUACAGUUAUUCAUUUAAAAUCAGAGAAUAAUUGUUGUUCUGUUUAAAUGAAUAAAACCUUUGAUGGUCAUACACCCAAUGAAAAUAGUUUGUUGGAUCUCGAUCGUAGUGAUACACAUAUUCAUAAUAUUGAUGCCAAAAGAUGCAAAGUUGAUAAUGAUAGUGCAACUUAUUUGUGGCACUGCCGUUUGGGUCAUAUUGGUGUAAAGCGCAUGAAGAAACUCCAUGAAGAUGGAUUUUCGGAAUCACUUGGUUAUGAAUCAUUUGAUGCUUGCGAACCGUGCCUUUUGGGCAAGAUGACUAAAAACUUCGUUCUCCGGAACAAUGGAACAAGCCACUGACUUAUUGGAAAUAAUACAUAAUGAUGUAUGCGAUCCAAUGAGUGUUGAUGCUCGUGGCAAGUAUCGUUAUUUUCUGACCUUCACAAAAUGAUUUGAGCAGAUAUGGGUAUAUCUACUUGAUGAAACAUAAGUCUGAAAUAAUUGAAAGGUUCAAAGAAUUUCAGAGUGAAGUGGAAAAAUCAUCGUAACAAGAAAAUAAAAUUUCUACGAUCUGAUCGCGGAGACGAAUAUUUGAGUUACGAGUUUGGUCUUCAAUUAAAACAAUGUGGAAUAGUUUCACAGCUCACGCCAUCUGGAACACCACAAUGUAAUGGUGUGUCCGAACUCGUAAUCGUACUUUACUAGAUAUGGUGCGAUCUAUGAUGUCUCUUAUCGGUUUACCACUAUCGUUUUGGGGUUAUGCAUUAGAGACAGAUGCAUUCACAUUUAAUAGGGCACCAUCUAAAUCCGUUGAGACGACACCGUAUGAACUAUGGUUUAGCAGUAAACCUAAGCUGCCGUUUCUUAAAGCUUGGAGCUGUGAUGCUUAUAUGAAAAAGGUUUUCAACCUGAUAAGCUCGAACCCAAAUCGGAGAAGUGCGUCUUCAUAGAAUACCCAAAGGUAACUAUUGGGUACACCUUCUAUCAUAGAUCCAAAGGUAAGUUAUUCGUUGCUAAGAUGGAUCCUUUCUAGAGAAGAAGUUUCUCUCGAAAGAAGUGAGUGGGAGGAAAGUAGAACUUGAUGAGGUAAUUGUACCUUCUCCCUUAUUGGAAAGUAGUUCAUCACAGAAAUCAGUUCCAGUGAUUACUACACCAAUUAGUGAGGAAGUUAAUGAUGAUGAUCAUGAAACUUCAUAUCAAGUUGCUGCCAAACCUUGUAGGUCUUCCAGAGUAAGAUCCGCACCAGAGUGGUACGGUAAUCAUGUUCUGGAAGUCAUGUUACUAGACCAUGAUGAACCUACGAACUAUGAGGAAGCGAUGAUGAGCCCAGAUUCCACGAAAUGGCUUGAGGCCAUAAAAUCUGAGAUAUGAUCCAUGUAUGAGAACAAAGUAUGGACUUUGAUUGACUUGCUUAAUGAUCAGCAAGCCAUGUUAAAUAAAUGGAUCUUCAAGAGGAAGACGGACACUGAUAGUAGUGUUACUAUCUACAAAGCUCGACUUGUUGCAAAAGGUUUUUGACAAGUUCAAGGUGUUGAAUACGAUGAGAUUUUCUCACUCGUAACGAUGCUUAAGUCUGUCCGAAUCAUGUUAGCAAUUGCCACAUUUUAUGAAAUCUAGCAAAUGGAUGUCAAAACUGCAUUCCUUAAUGGAUUUAUUAAAGAAGAGUUGCAUAUGAUGCAACCAGAAGGUUUUGUCGAUCCUAAAGGUGUUAACAAAAUAUGCAAGCUCCAGUGAUCCAUCUAUAGACUGGUGCAAGCAUCUCGGAGUUGGAAUAUAUGCUUUGAUAAAUUGAUCAAAGGAUAUAGUUUUAUACAUACUUACGGUGAAGCCUGUAUUUACAAGAAAGUGAGUGGGAGCUCUGUAGCAUUUCUAAUAUUAUAUGUGGAUGACAUAUUGUUGAUUGGAAAUGAUAUAGAAAUUCUGGAUAGCAUGAAAGGAUACUUGAAUAAGAGUUUCAAAGCAAGACCUCGGUGAAGCUGCUUACACAUUGAGCAUCAAUAUCUAUAUAGAUAGAUCAAGACGCUUGAUAAGAUUUUUCAAUGAGUACAUACCUUGAUAAAUUCUUGAAAUAGUUCAAAAUGGAACAGUCAAAGAAGGAGUUCUUGCCUGUGAUGCAAAGGUGUGAAUUUGAGUAAGACUCAAGACCCGACCAUGGCAGAAAAUAAAAAGAGAGUGAAAAGUCAUUCCCUAUGCCUCAGUCAUAGGUUCUAUAAAGUAUGCUAUGCUGUGAACCAGGCCUAUUGUAUACCUUGCUCUGAGAUUGACAAAGGAAUACAAUUUUGAUCUAAGAGUAGAUCACUGGACAGCGGUCAAGAAUAUCCUUAGUGAGGACUAAGGAGAUGUUUCUCGAUUAUGGAGGUGAUAAAAGAGCCCGUCGUAAAAAGUUACAACGAUGCAAGCUUUUACACUGAUCCAGAUGACUCUAAGUCUCAAUCUGGAUACAUAUUGAAAGUGGGAGCAAUUAGCUAGAGUAUCUCCAUGCAGAGCAUUAUGGACAUAGAAUAUUUUGCAAAAUACAUACGGCUUUGAAUAUGACAGAUCCGUUGACUAAACUUCUCUCACAAGCAAAACAUGAUCAUACCUUAGUACUCUUUGGGUGUUAAUGACAUAGCGAUGUGAACUAGAUUAUUGACUCUAGUAAACCCUUUGGGUGUUGGUCACAUGACGAUGUAAACUAUGGGUGUUAAUCAUAUACAGAUAUGAAUAUUGAUGUUAAAUCACAUGGCGAUGUGAACUAGAUUAUUGACUCUAGUGCAAGUGGGAGACUGAAGGAAAUAUGCCCUAGAGGCAAUAAUAAAGUUAUUAUUUAUUUCCUUAUAUCAUGAUAAAUGUUUAUUAUUCAUGCUAGAAUUGUAUUAACCGGAAACAUAAUACAUGUGUGAAUACAUAGACAAACAUAUAGUCACUAGUAUGCCUCUACUUGACUAGCUCAUUAAUCAAAGAUGGUUAUGUUUCCUAACCAUAGACAUGUGUUGUCAUUUGAUUAAUGGGAUCACAUCAUUAGGAGAAUGAUGUGAUUGACAUGACCCAUUCCGUCAGCCUAGCACUUGAUCGUUUAGUAUGUUGCUAUUGCUUUCUUCAUGACUUAUACAUGUUCCUGUAACUAUGAGAUUAUGCAACUCCCAUUUACCGGAGGAACACUUUGGGUGCUACCAAACGUCACAACGUAACUGGGUGAUUAUAAAGGAGUACUACAGGUGUCUCCAAAGGUACAUGUUGGGUUGGCGUAUUUCGAGAUUAGGUUUUGUCACUCCGAUUGUCGGAGAGGUAUCUCUGGGCCCUCUCGAUAAUGCACAUCACUAUAAGCCUUGCAAGCAAUGUGACUAAUGAGUUAGUUGCGGGAUGAUGCAUUAUGUAACGAGUAAAGAGCUUGCCGGUAACGAGAUUGAACUAGGUAUUGGAUACCGACGAUCGAAUCUCGGGCAAGUAACAUACCGAUGACAAAGGGAACAAAGUAUGUUGUUAUGCGGUUUGACCGAUAAAGAUCUUCGUAGAAUAUGUAGGAGUCAAUAUGGGCAUCCAGGUUCCGCUAUUGGUUAUUGACCAAGAAUAGUUCUAGGUCAUGUCUACAUAGUUCUCGAACCCGUAGGGUCCGCACGCUUAAGGUUUCGAUGACAGUUAUAUUAUGAGUUUAUGAGUUUUGAUGUACCGAAGAAGUUCGGAGUCCCGGAUGAGAUCGGGGACAUGACGAGGAGUCUCGAAAUGGUCGAGACGUAAAGACCGAUAUAUUGGACGACUAUAUUCGGAGUUCGUAAAGGUUCCGAGUGAUUCGGAUAUUUUUCGAAGUACUGGAGAGUUACGGGAAUUCGCCGGGGAGUAUAUGGGCCUUAUUGGGCCAUACGGGAAUAGUGGAGAGAGGCCAAAAGGAAGGAGGCCUGCGCCCCCCCCCCCUCUGGUCCAAAUUGGACAAGGGGCGCAGCCCCCCUUUCCUUCUUCCUCUCCCCCUCUUUCCCCCUCUCCUACUCCAACAAGGGAGGUGGAAUCCUACUAGGACUAGGGAGUCCUAGUAGGACUCCACACUUGGCGCGCCCCCUCCUAGGGCCGGCAUCCUCCCCCCUUGCUCCUUUAUAUACGGGGGCAGGGGGGCACCCCAUAGACACACAAGUUGAUCUACGGAUCGUUCCUUAGCCGUGUGCGGUGCCCCCCUCCACCAUAUUCCACCUCGAUCAUAUCGUCGGGGAGUUUAGGCGAAGCCCUGCGCCGGUAGAACAUCAUCGUCGUCACCAUGCCGUCGUGCUGAUGGAACUCAUCCCCGAAGCUUUGCUGGAUCGGAGCCCGGGGAUCGUCAUCGAGCUGAACGUGUGCUGAACUCGGAGGUGCCGUACGUUUGGUACUUGGAUCGGUCGGACCGUGAAGACGUACGACUACAUCAACCGCGUUGUCAUAACGCUUCCGCUUACGGUCUACGAGGGUACGUGGACGAACACUCUCCCCUCUCGUUGCUAUGCCAUCACCAUGAUCUUGCGUGUGCGUAGAAAUUUUUUUGAAAUUACUACGUUCCCCAACAUGAAGUCCCAAGCACACAAGAAGAGAUCUUUCCGCGAAUUCCAAGUGGACGAUCAAGUCUUCCUCAAGCUACAACCGUAUAUUCAUAUAUCUGUUGCUCCGCGGGCAAAUCAGAAGCUCUCGUUCAAGUUCUAUGGGCCUUUUCCUAUCAUAAAGAAGAUUAACGAGGUGGCGUAUGAGCUCUAGUUACCAGCUACAACCACGGUGCACCCAUUGUUUCACGUCUCGCAACUCCGGCGAGCCCUGCAAUCAGGUACACUGGUCGAACAUACUGUGUCGUUGUGUACUGACGACCUUGCUGUUCCUGUGGAAGUGCUUCAAUCCCGUUGGCGCGCAUGUCGGGGCUCUGGCAUCGAGCAAGUUCAAGUGCGCUGGUAUGGAGCUACCGGCAUAACCUGGAAGGACAAGGAGGCGCUUCGAGCUCACUUUCCCCACGCGGCGGGACCGUCCACAAGGGCUCAAGGGGGCAGCGAUGCACGGGCCAAGCGUCCACGGGUUGCCAACCCACGAGUCAGCAGGCCGGACUGGGUAACCGCGGCCCAACUUCUUCCGCCCGCUACUUAACCGGCAUCGCUGGGAAGGGAGAACCAUCUAGAGGAUCAGGCACCCGACGGCUGGCUACCUACAACCGUUCCCCAUUGACAUGAACCCUAGCUACGAUACCUGCAAUCGAGUUGUAAUUGCCAUCUUAAAAUCAUACUUCGUGUGAGAAUUGCUGCCAAGUAAUUGAGAGGCUAGUUCGUCCCUAUCAAGCCGUGCACGCCUGCAUGCGGCAAUACGGCAUGGAAGAGCAUGGUGACCAAGGCAGAGUUCAAUUUUUCAGCGCGACGCACGCGCCCACGGCGUGCACGAGCCGCCGGCCAGCUCGCGGCCAGUUCACCCGACAAGGGCGGCCUAUGCUCUCACAGCAUGUACGGGCGUCCACUGUCCUAGGUUUUUGUACUCCUGUUGCAUCCGUGCCGUGCCGUGGUCAGGUGAGGUCCAGCUCCCUCCGGCGGAUCAUGGUUAGAUCCAACAACCAACCGGGGUCUCGUCCUCCUCGUCGCAUUCACUUUCCAGCUGCCGCGUACCACGCUCGAAGCCGGCACACGCAACUCGGGACUGUCCGCCGGAGAAGAGCACGCGUCGUGAGAAAAGGCUCAACAGAACGGCAUGGUCGGCCGCGCAGCAGAGCACCUAAAAAACGCCACCAUGCGAGCCACGCGCGUCACCGUCCGGCCGUCCUAGGAUAGACGAGCCACACCCGCACCGUCAUCCAUCCGUGCUGCGGGCGCGCACCGGGUUCAGACUUCGGAUGAAGGCAAAAAACACAUAUUUGACCUGAGGACCAAAAGAAUUCACAAUCUGAACUCCUUUCGAAAAAAUUGCACCGAGCUGACCGUUUCGAGUGGCGUCCGACAGAUAGGCGCCACACUAUACUGUGCAGCGCCUGUAGCUUAGGCACCACACGCCGGUCCAGUGUGGCAGCCCGGGCCCCACUCCUGGUUGUGCAGCGCCUAGCUGAAAGGAGUUACACAGUGUAGUGCAGCGCCUAACCGAAAGGAGUUGCAAUAUCUUAUAUUAAAACUGUUGUAACUUUUAAUCCAUGCAUCCGAUGGAAACGUGCCUUAUAUGAAAGUUGUACAUUUUUCCGUGUUCUACGCAAUGGUUGCAUUUUCAUCUAUGUUAGGAUCAAUUUGUUUGAUGAAAGCCCUGUUGCAAAAGUGCAUCAUAAUAUAACUGACAGAAUCUGGUAAAAUUUACAAACUUGGCAUGAUGAUAGCCAUUCACCUAUAGCUCUUACGCGUUUUCAACCUACAUGAGUUUUGCACUGCAUAAUGUGUACUUUCAUGCCAUGCCUAUGCUUGCCAUGUUAAUCAUCCUUAACAUGUUCAUUUCUUGGAUCUAAGUGACUAACAUGAUAUAAGUGAACUUCUGUUACAGAAAGUUACAUUAUGUAAGAUCCAUAGUAAUUAAUCCUAACAUCAUAUGAAUAUGAUCUAACCCGCCGUGAAGCCACGUGCCCCCCUCUCGAAGCUCCCAAAUGCGGCACGGCCGAAGAAGUGCAAGGCAUCCGCGAAGAAGAACAAGGCGGCGGACGGCUCCGGCUCUUCGAAGCCGUCGAGGAAGAAGCUUGCAGGGUGUGUGACGGGUGCGGCAGCUACCGAAGCGCCGACGAGCUCACUUGUUGAGCCGGCGGCCGACGCGCACAAGGUGUUCGAGGAAAUGCCCCAAAGUAAUAAAAUUUCGCCAACUUUUUGUUGUUGUGAUUUUUUGAAUGCACACGUAUAGAUAGCUUAUUUGCUUCAUUGUAUAUACUUUGUAGCUUCAACGAUGAGGCAUAUAUGUCAACUAUGGGUGUUGUCUCCAACAAUUCGCAUUGGUCUCAAAUCAAUGACAUGCAUUUCGAUGACCAUGAGUUCGAGGUGGACGAGGAUGGUGGGGCAUUGUCGACGCACCGAAAGGAAGAGGAGGCAACUACACCAACGAAGAAGAUGUCUUACUAUGCAAUACUUGGUUGCAAGGGUCGAAGGAUCCAUCCGUUGGAGGUGAUCAAAGUAGAGAUGCUUAUUGGAACCGGAUGAAGGAGCACUUUGAUCUACACAACAAGAGUAGAAUUGACCGCUCCGACCGAUAUCUUCGCUCCGCCGACAAUCAACAAAGAUUGUCAGAAGUGGGCGGCCGCACAAAAGGCGGUUGACAAGUUGAACCCAAGUGGCAGAACUUUGCAUUUUAUCAGCACGGUCGUGGCUUGGUGACAUCUAGUGACUUGGUGAAAUUAACGUGUCAAUCUGGCAGAACAUUGCCUUAGUUACUUUAGUAUAUCAAAACAUAGUGAUGCAAAUAUUUAGUGGGUAUGAAAAUGACAUAGACUUAAGGUAGACAUAAAAUUUUCCAACUUUCAUAGUUAGAUCAUAUUCAUAUGAUGUCAGGAUUAAUUACUAUGGAUCUUACAAAAUGUAACUUUCUACAACAGAAGUUCACUUAUAUCAUGUUAGUCACUUAGAUCCAAGAAAUGAUCAUGUUAAGGAUGAUUAACAUGGCAAGCAUAGGCAUGGCGUGAUAGUACACAUUAUGCAGUGCAAAACUCAUGUAGGCUGAAAACGUGUCAGAGGUAUAGGUGAAUGGCUAUCAUCAUGCCAAGUUUGUAAAUUUUAACAGAUUCUGUCAGUUAUAUUAUGAUGCACUUUUGCAACAAGGUUUUCAUCAAGCAAAUUGAUCCUAACAUAGAUGAAAAUGCCACCAUUGCGUACAACACGGAAAAAUAUACAACUUUCAUAUAAGGCACUUUUUCAUCGGGUACACGGAUUAAAGGUUACAGUAGUUUUAAUAUAAGGUAGUGCAACUCCUUUCGGUUAGGCGCUGCACUACAUUGUGCAACUCCUUUCAACUAGACGCUGCACAACCAGGAGUGGGGCCCGGGCUGCCAUGCUGGACGGCGUGUGGCACCUAAGCUCCAGGCGCUGCACAGUAUAGCGUGGCGCCUAUCUGUCGGGCGCCACUCGAAACGGUCAGCUCGGUGCAAUUUUUUUGAAAGGAGUUCAGAUUGUGAAUUCUUUUUGUCCUUAGGUCAAAUAUGUGUUUUUUGCCUCGGAUGGAUGGAUGGAUAGAUAGGGAUGGCGCCGCCACCUCAGCCGGCAGUCACCACCGGCACCGUGCGCGCGCACACGCAUGUACGCGCCGCACCCGGAGCACGAGACGUGCCACGCCUCUCCCCGCGCAUCUCAUCCCAUCCCAUCCAUCCAUCCAUCCAUCGAGCAGAGAACCUUAUCGCGGCGCCACACCACACACCGCACACCCCACUCCACUGUACUCCCUCGCCGGAGCCAAAAGGCACCCACGGAGACACGAGGGGCACCGGACCCAUGAGACAUACUUGCGCCCUGGACCAGGCAGGCAGGCAACCUGGUCAUGCAUCACCAUCUCACUCACUCGCCAUGGCCGCCUUCUGCUUAGCGCCAAGGCGGGCAGACAAGACAAGCGCCCGGCGCGAGACAGCCGGGCAGCGAGCAAGACACACUCAGCCAUCACAUUCACAGGGGCGCUGUGGCCCGGCCAGGGAUACGGUUGCAACUGCGCAAGAUACACUCAGCCAUCACAAGAUACACGCCGUCGGCCAGCACAACCAUAACAAAAUUAGCCACGCCGCAUCAUGAAUCAAUGUUUGCAGGUACGUAAUCUCACAAGUAGCAAGUACAAAAUUUAAUCUUGUCGUAUCAUGGGUGCUAUGAAGAAAAGCAGCUCAGCGUAUCAGUAGGGGCACUUGCAUGCAAAAAUCAGCUGCUCAGGAAUCUCAAAAAUUGCAUUCCACAAGUGGCCAAAAUCACUGUUUUGACACUUUAUCCAAGGUUUACCACAAUUUGACCCCUGUUUUACUCCCUCCGUAAACAAAUAUAAAGAGCAUUUACAUAACUGCCUUAGUGAUCGAAACGCUCUUAUAUUAGUUUAUAGAAGGAGUAGAGUUUAUCCGGAUCUGACCCUAAAGCAGUGCGGAUAAAUUUUCAAACACAGGUCAAAUCAUGCUAAACUUUGAAUAAAGGGUCAAAACAUUGAUUUUGGGCUCCACAAGUUGGAAACAUUCACCAAUGUUUAUCUCACAAAGUUGCAUUCCACCCAGGAGUCCUUUUGGUAUGAAUAGCACUUCAGCAUAGUACUAGCAUACAUACAGAAUGAGCUGCACAGCAUCAACCCUCCAAGGAUUCUCACAGGUUGCUUUCAACGAGUUGAAAACAUCCAUUGGUAUGCAAGAUACAAACAAAUGAGCUGCCCAUCGCUAAUGCUGGAAGGUGUCCCACUGGCGUGCAAUGUUACUACUAGAAUAGCUCCCACGACACUAGCAUUAGUGCCUAACACCACUGGUCAAACUAUAACAAAACUAGCUCCAGCACAGCACAACAUACAAAAUGAGCACAUCCAAGACGGCUCAGCAAGUAAGAUGCAUACAGAUGAGCACAGUAAAGAGACCAAUCUCAAAGAGAGCAGGAAAUGCAGAUGCAAUGCAUUCAUCUCAUCUUUCUUUUUCAGCAUAGUAGUACUAGGGUACAUGCAAAACGAGCUAAACAGCAUCAAUCCUGGAUGGAAUCACCCAAAAUUUCAUUCCAGAACUUGGAAACAUCCAUCAGCUGCUCGGCAACUAGUACCACAAUACAUACAAAUGAGCAGGUAAGACAUACCCAUCUCAAAGAAAGACGGCAAGAAAGCGGCAAAAAAAGGAGUAUAAUGCGAACUUAUUUUUCUUUUUCAUUCAUUCAUACUACUAGGAGCAACAGCCACAAGACUUGUCUUGAGCUAGCUACAAUGUCUGGACCAACAUUGACAGAUAACAUGGAAGGAGGAACAUAACAUAACCAGCAGCUACUAUAACUUAUCACAAAUGUAACCUACUAUCAAAAAUACUCUCACUCACUCACUCUCACCACCAUAACGCUAAUGUGCUCGGGAGACUAGGGAAAACGGACACCACCUUGGGCACGAGCUGGUUGAGCUGCCCGGGGAAAAACCCAAGAUGAUCUCCUCCCUCCCAACGCACACGGAUUGAUUACACUCACAGGAGGCCCAUCACACCAGCAUUUUACUACUUAGGUCCCGAUUGGAUUGCCGGAUAUUUCCCACACCCGUAAACUUCUACACUUGCAUAUUACUGGUUCCCAAAGAAAUACAUGACACGGGUUGUAUUUGUAAAUCCGAUGCGCUGAGGCAUGUAUCAUAUACCAGCCCAUUACCGGUGUAUUUGAGGAAACAGGCGUAAUAAUUACCAUCGUGAUACGACGUUCCAAGCGCCAGGUCGUCUUGUCCACCGGUUUUGUUUACGGGGCUGUAUUUUACAAGUGUAACCGGCUGGAAAACGCUAUUCCAAGCGCGGCCUUAAAGAUAAACCUUAAACCUCUCUUGAUUCACACGCAGAAAUCGACGGUAUGCAGGAAAUCAUCCAUGCCUCGGCCGAAGUCGCAGCCGGGCAUCUCCAGGAAGUCGUCGCCGAUGUCGAGGUCCAUGUCCAGGUCGAGCUCCUCGUCGGCGAAGUCACCGAGCAGCAGGUCCUGUUCGCCGUCCAAGUAAGCCGACGCCUCGGAGACGUCCAGGGCAUCAAGCCCGGCGCGGAAGUCCAUCGGGUCGAUGUCCGGCAGCUGAAGACCGCGCAGGAGGUCCUGGUAGAACUCUGGGUCGUCAGGCAGCUGCGCGGUCUCAGCCGUGGUGGACACCAUGACCGGAACUGGAGUCGGCUCAGGCGACAGGGACUCAUCUGCUGGCUUCGUGGCUUCAAGGACAGAGGACGGCGACGGGUGCGCGAACGGAGCAGCAGAGGUGGAGGACGACGAAGAUGCCGUCGGUGUAGUAGAAGACGACGUCGGUGUUGUUGACGCAGCAGACCGAGCGGGCGAGGCCGCGGCCACAGACUGGCCACGGCGGCGACGCUUCUCCUCGAUAAAGCUCCGGGAGGCGGCCUGGUAGGCGGCGGAGGCCAAGUCGGCGGUGUCGAAGGUGCCAAGCCACUCCCUCUUGCCGGAGAACGGGUUGCGGAUCUCGGCCGCCCACUUGCCCCACUUGCGGAGGCGCACACCGCGGUGGCCCUCGGCGCUGCUGGUGGUGCAGGCAGCGACAGCAGAAGCAGCGGCGGUCGGAGUGACCGGCUUGGCAAACACCUUGGCCGGCGGGGCCUUGCCAAGGAACAGCUCGAAGCAGCGCUUGGACGAAGCAGGUGCGGCGACCGCCGCCUCCUCCUCGUCGUCGGUGUCGGAGUCGGUGGCGUCGGGGUCCUCGUACAGGACGCGCACGCGCCGCCUCGGCGGCUGCGCGGCGGGCAGCAGCGCCUGCGCCUGCAGCUGCGCCGGCUUGGAGAAGGCGGCGGAGGGCUUGACGCCGAACCCGGCGAGCAUCCUGGUCUUGGGCCUCUUGGCCAGCGCGUCCCUGAUGCGCAUGUGGUGCUGGCUCAAAGGCGCCAUGGAUCCUCCUCGUCUUCUUCCUCCUCUAACACUGACUGACUAGCAAAACUGAAAGGGGAAAAACUCUACUAGGAAAAGGGGAC